rnacentral:lncRNA from 1 species
UCCACCACUCAGCCCGGCUUGAAAACCCCACCUGCUCACUUCUCCACCCAAACCCAAUCCAAAAUCUUUCCCUCCCUCCCAUCCUUUCUUCCCCUCCGCCUCCGCCUCUGCGGCCGCCAGUGACGCGCCAGGCGCUAGCUAGCCAUGUCGUGCUCCCACCUCUCCACCGCGUGGUCCUCCUCCGCGCUUGCCAGCACCUCCACCCGCCGCCGCGCCUCCACCGGCAGCAGCAGCCUGGUGGUGCGGUGCUCCCUCCGGGACCUCCGUAACCGCAUCGACUCUGUCCGCAACACGCAGAAGAUCACGGAGGCGAUGAAGCUGGUGGCCGCCGCCAAGGUCCGUCGCGCGCAGGAGGCCGUGGUCUCCUCUCGCCCCUUCUCGGAGGCUCUGGUGGAGGUGCUCUACAACAUGAACCAGGAGAUCCAGUCGGAGGACAUCGACCUGCCCCUCACCCGCCAGCGCGCCGUCAAGCGCGUCGCGAUCGUCGUCCUCACCGGCGAGCGUGGUCUCUGCGGCGCCUUCAACAACAACGUGCUCAAGAAGGCCGAGGCCCGCAUGGAGGACCUCAGGCAGCUGGGCGUCGACUACACCGUCAUCAGCGUCGGCAAGAAGGGCAACGCCUACUUCCAGCGCCGCGACUACAUCCCCACCGAGCGCUUCCUCGAGCUCGCCGGGAUCCCCACCGUCAAGGACUCGCAGGCCAUUUGCGACCUCAUCUAUUCCCUCUUUGUCGCCGAGGAGGUCGACAAGGUGGAGCUCGUCUACUCCAAGUUCGUCAACCUCGUCCGCUCCGACCCCAUCAUCCAGACGCUGCUGCCCAUGUCCCCUAAGGGCGAGAUCUGCGAUGUCAACGGCAUCUGUGUCGACGCCACCGAGGACGAGCUCUUCAAGCUCACCACCAAGGAAGGCAAGCUCACCGUGGAGCGCGAGAAGAUCAAGAUCGAGAUGCAGCCCUUCUCCCCCGUCGUCCAGUUCGAGCAGGACCCCGUCCAGAUCCUCGACGCUCUCCUCCCGCUCUACCUCAACAGCCAGAUCCUGCGUGCCCUCCAGGAGUCGCUCGCUAGCGAGCUCGCCGCCAGGAUGAGCGCCAUGAGCAGCGCCACAGACAAUGCCAUCGACCUCCGGAAAAAUCUCUCCAUGGUCUACAACCGCCGACGCCAGGCCAAGAUCACCGGAGAGAUCCUUGAGAUCGUCGCUGGCGCCGACGCCCUGUCCGGCUGAUUCCUCCUCCCCACUUGAGCUGAGCCGCCGCUGUUAUAUAUAACUCUUUGCCUCCUUUUCUCCUCUCUUCUACUUAUCUUGCUUGGUCUGUGUCUGUCUGUAAUAAUUUCUCAUAGCACAAAAAAGGAUGUCUGUUCUAAGAUUCAGUUCGGAGAUGCCAAAUGUAUAAUCCAGAGUAAUUUAUCUAUGCAAUCCCGCCUCCACCCAUAUGCAAUUUGUUUAUGCAACCCAGAGUAAUCCCAUAUGCAGUUUCUUGGUAGAAACCCUAGUGAGAUGGUCCUCACUUAGUAGUCAUUCAACAAAUCAAUACUUAUAAAAGACACCCAAAGGGCAUCUCAUAACUGCUAUCAAGGAAAACAGUAUAAUCAAAGAACAACAAAGUUACAAACCGACAUGUAAAAACUAGAAUUAUAUCAAAAAUCAUAUUGGCCAUCUUGUUCAUUCGCUUGCUUGUCAGUCCGUAGGCAGUGUAGCCACUCGCUCUGAUCCAAGCGCCUAACUUGUCAGUGGAUGGUAUGUGAUGUAGUGUCAUGCACAUUUCGGCUAGCAAGCGUAAUGUGUGUAGCGUGAUGUAGUGUCAUGCACAUUUCGGCUAGCAAGCGUAAUGUGUGUAGCACUGCUUUAGAGGGAUAUAAGGGUCCAAGUCCAACACAAGAGGGCAAAAGAGGAACUAAUUCAUCCCAAUCCUUGAAGGAGUUGAGGUCUUGGUAUCCAAGAGGAUCUUCCCUGGAAGGGGUCUCGAAUCCACUUGGGGAUCUUCUCUCACAUAGAGGCCUUGAUCUCCAUGGGAGAGGUAGGUGGACGAGAAAAACUCAAUCUCAAAUGAGUUAUAACCUUUGCUAACCCUAGCUAGGAGGAGGAGUGGGUCUAUAUAUAGUGUUUCACGAGAUAAGAGAGGGGAAGAGGGGAUACAUGGGCCUCUGGCCCGGUUAGGCACUCACAGAUGCUGGACGUCUGGGUUGAAGGCCGGACGUCUGGGGCUUCACGUUGGGCCGGGGCCGGAUGUCCGAGCUGGACUGGGGCGCCGGAUAUCCGGGCCAAGGGCCGAAUGUCCGACCGCUGUAGCAUUUCAACGGUCUUCUUCAUCUGUGUACUUGGGGAUUUGCUCUUCAUUCAGAGCGUCUCCCAGAUGGUCUUCUUCAUACCUAAGCACACAUAGCAUUUUCGAUUGAGGUAGUACCAUGUCUCACAUGGUUCAUACAGAAGCUUGUUAAGAAGAGAUGUCACCUCGGUCUCGAUAACUUUUGCACGUGUUUGUAUCAUCGGUCCACUUGGCACUUGAGGAGACGAAGGUAGGUCCAUGGAUGACCGUAGGAUGCUCCGCAUAAUCUCCCCCCUUGGGAAAGAUCCGUCCUUGGAUCGAAAUCCUCAUCACCAUGGAAGGGAGAUAGGUAUUUGGCGCUGAAGAUAUCGCUCACGUUGUACUUGUCGCGUGGGAAGUUGAUCUUGUAGGCAUUGUUGUUGUAGCGUGUUAAUGUCUACUACACAACCUUCUUCUUGUAGACUCGUGUUGGGCCUCGAAGUGCAGAGUUUUGUAGGACAGUAGCAAAUUUCUCUCAAGUGGACGACCUAAGGUUUAUCAAUCCGUGGGAGGCGUAGGAUGAAGAUGGUCUCUCUCAUACAACCCCGCAACCAAAUAACAAAGAGUCUCUUGUGUUCCCAACACACCCAAUGCACUAGUUCGGCGAAGAGAUGAUGAUACAAGUGUAAUAUGGACAGUAGAUAUAGGUUGUGGUAAUCUUAAAAUAUAAAAACAGCAAGGUAACUAGUAACAAAAGUUAGCGAAAACGGUAUUACAAUGCUUGGAAACAAGGCCUAGGUUCAUACUUUCACUAGUGCAAGUUCUCUCAACAAUGAUAACAUAAUUAAAUCAUAUGGCAAUCCCUCAACGUGCAACAAAGAGUCACUCAAAAGUUUCUAUCGCAGAGAACAUAAGAUGAAAUUGCAUGUAGGCUACAAAAGCACCUGAAAGUUAUUCUUUCCAAUCAAUCCAUUGAGCUAUUCCUAUAAGUGUCACAAACAACCCUAGAGUUUGUAGUAAAAUAACACCAUAUGACACACAUCAAUCAACCCUAAUGUCACCUAGAUACUCCAAUGUCACCAUAAGUAUCCGUGGGUCAAUUAUACGAUAUGCAUCAAAUAACUUCAGAUUCAUAAUAUUCAAUCCAACAUAAAGAACCUCAAAGAGUGCCCCAAGAUUCCUACCGGAGAAACAAGGACGAAAACAUGCAUCAACCCCUAUGCAUAGAUUACCCCAAUGUCACCUCGAGAAUCCGCGAGUUGAGUGCCAAAACAUACAUCAAGUGAAUCAAUAGAACACCCCAUUGUCACCACGGGUAUCCCACGCAAGACAUACAUCAAGUGUUCUCAAAUUCAUAAUAGUAUUCAAUCCGAUAAUAAUGAAACCUCAAAGAUAAAACUCGAUUCAUCACAGGAAGGUAGUGGGGAGAAACACCAUAUGAUCCAACUAUAAUAACAAAGCUCGCGGUACAUCAAGAUCGUGCCAAAUCAAGAACGAGAGAGAGAGAGAGAGAGAGAGAGAGAGAGAGAGAGAGAGAGAGAUCAAACACAUAGCUACUGGUACAUACCCUCAGCCCCGAGUGUGAACUACUCCCUCCUCGUCAUGGAGACCGCCGGGAUGAUGAAGAUGGCCAUCGGUGAUGGUUUCCUCCUCCGGCAAGGUGCCAGAACGGGCUCCCGAUUGGUUUUUGUGGCUACAGAGGCUUGCGGCGGCGGAACUCCCGAUCUAGGUUUCUUUCUGGGGGUUUCUAUAUUUAUAGGAAUUUUUGGCGUUGGUUUCACGUCAGUGGUGUCCACGAGGAAGUGACAAGGCAGGGGCACGCCCUCCACCCUUUGUGGCUGCCUCGGGACUCCUCUGGUCCAUCUCCGAUGGCCCAUGGGUCUCUUCUGGUCCAUAAAAAAUGACCGUAGUUUUUUAGCUCAUUUGGACUUCGUUUGAUAUUCCUUUUCUGUAAAACUCAAAAACAAGGAAAAAAUAGAAACUGGCACUGGGCUCUAGGUUAAUAGGUUAGUCCCAAAAAUAAUAUAAAACAGCAUAUUAAAGCAUAUAAAACACCCAAAACAGAUAAUAUAAUAGCAUGGAACAAUAAAAAAUAUAGAUACAUUGGAGACGUAUCAAGCAUCUCCAAACUUAAUUCCUGCUCGUCCUUGAGUAGGUAAAUGAUAAAAACAGAAUUUUUGAUGUGAAAUGCUACCUAACAUAUUUUCAAUGUAAUCUUCUUUAUUAUGGCAUGAAUUUUCAGAUUCAUAAGAUUCAAAACAAAAGUUUAAUAUUGACAUAAAAACAAUAAUACUUCAAGCAUACUAAUAAGGCAACCAUGUCUUCUCAAAAUAACAUGGCCAAAGAAAGUUAUCCCUACAAAAUCAUGUAGUGUGGCUAUGCUCCAUCUUCAUCACACAAAAUAUUUCACCAUGUACAAUCCCGAUGACAAGCCAAGCAAUUGUUUCAUACUUUUGGUGUUCUCAAACUUUUUCAACUUUCACGCAAUACAUGAGCGUGAGCCAUGGAUAUAACGCUAUAGGUGGAAUAUAAUAUGGUGGUUGUGGAGAAGACAAAAGGAUGGAGAUAGUCUCACAUCAACUAGGCAUAUUAACGGGCUAUGGAGGUGCCCAUCAAUAGAUAUCAAUGCAAGUGAGUAGGGAUUGCCAUGCAACAUAUACACUAGAGCUAUAAGUGUAUGAAAGCUCAAAAAGAAACUAAGUGAGUGUGCAUCCAACUUGCUUGGUCACAAAGACCUAGGUCAAUUUGGGGAAGCCUAUCAUUGGAAUAUACAAGCCAAGUUCUAUAAUGAAAAAUUCACACUAGUAUAUGAAAGUGACAAAAUAGGAGACUCUCUAUCUGUUGGGGAACGUAGUAAUUUCAAAAAAUUUCCUACGCACACGCAAGAUCAUGGUGAUGCAUAUCAACGAGAGGGGAGAGUGUGAUCUACGUACCCUUGUAGAUCAACAACGAAAGCGUUUGGUUGAUGUAGUCGUACGUCUCCACGGCCCGACCGAUCAAGCACCGAAACUACGGCACCUCCGAGUUCUAGCACACGUUCAGCUCGAUGACGAUCCCCGGGCUCCGAUCCAGCAAAGCAUCGGGGAGGAGUUUCGUCAGCACGACGGCGUGGUGACAAUCUUGAUGUUCUACCGUCGCAGGGCUUUGCCUAAGCACCGGUACAAUAUGACCGGGGUGGAAUAUGGUGGAGGGGGGCACCGCACACGGCUAAGGAACGAUCACGAAGAUCAACUUGUGUGUCUAGGGGUGCCCCCUGCCCCCGUAUAUAAAGGAGCAAGGGGAGGAGGCCGGCCGGCCCCUAUAGGCGCGCCAGGAGGAGUCCUCCUCCUAGUAGGAGUAGGACUCCUACUAGGAGGGGGAAAGAAGUGGGGAGGGAGAGGGAAAGGCCCCCCCUCUCCUAGUCCAAUUCGGACCAGGGGGAGGAGGCGCGCGGCCCACCUCUGGCAGCCCCCCUCUCUCUCCACUAAGGCCCAUAUGGCCCAUUACCUCUCCCGGGGGGGUUCCGGUAACCCUCCGGCUCUCCGGUUUUCUCCGAAAUCACCCGGAACACUUCCGGUGUCCGAAUAUAGCCAUCCAAUAUAUCAAUCUUUAUGUCUCGACCAUUUCGAGACUCCUCGUCAUGUCCGUGAUCACAUCCGGGACUCCGAACUAACUUCAGUACAUCAAAACUCAUAAACUCAUAAUAUAACUGUCAUCGAAACCUUAAGCGUGCGGACCCUACGGGUUCGAGAACAAUGUAGACAUGACCGAGACACGUCUCCGGCCAAUAACCAAUAGCGGAACCUGGAUGCUCAUAUUGGCUCCUACAUAUUCUACGAAGAUCUUUAUCGGUCAGACCGCAUAACAACAUACGUUGUUCCCUUUGUCAUCGGUAUGUUACUUGCCCGAGAUUCGAUCAUCGGUAUCUCAAUACCUAGUUCAAUCUCGUUACCGGCAAGUCUCUUUACUCGUUUCAUAAUACAUCAUCUCGCAACUAACUCAUUAGUUGCAAUGCUUGCAAGGCUUAUGUGAUGUGCAUUACCGAGAGGGCCCAGAGAUACCUCUCCGACAAUCGGAGUGACAAAUCCUAAUCUCGAAAUACGCCAACCCAACAUGUACCUUUGGAGACACCUAUAGAGCACCUUUAUAAUCACCCAUUUACGUUGUGACGUUUGGUAGCACACAAAGUGUUCCUCCGGUAAACGGGAGUUGCAUAAUCUCAUAGUCAUAGGAACAUGUAUAAGUCAUGAAGAAAGCAAUAGCAACAUACUAAACGAUCGGGUGCUAAGCUAAUGGAAUGGGUCAUGUCAAUCAGAUCAUUCACCUAAUGAUGUGAUCUCGUUAAUCAAAUAACAACUCCUUGUUCAUGGUUAGGAAACAUAACCAUCUUUGAUUAACGAGCUAGUCAAGUAGAGGCAUACUAGUGACACUCUGUUUGUCUAUGUAUUCACACAUGUAUUAUGUUUCCGGUUAAUACAAUUCUAGCAUGAAUAAUAAACAUUUAUCAUGAUAUAAGGAAAUAAAUAAUAACUUUAUUAUUGCCUCUAGGGCAUAUUUCCUUCAGUCUCCCACUUGCACUAGAGUCAAUAAUCUAGAUUACACAAUAAUGAUUCUAACACCCAUGGAGCCUUGGUGCUGAUCAUGUUUUGCUCGUGGAAGAGGCUUAGUCAACGGGUGUGCAACAUUCAGAUCCGUAUGUAUCUUGCAAAUCUCUAUGUCUCCCACCUGGACUAGAUCCCGGAUGGAAUUGAAGCGUCUUUUGAUGUGCUUGGUUCUCUUGUGAAAUCUGGAUUCCUUUGCCAAGGCAAUUGCACCAGUAUUGUCACAAAAGAUUUUAAUUGGACCCGAUGCACUAGGUAUGACACCUAGAUCGGAUAUGAACUCCUUCAUCCAGACUCCUUCAUUUGUUGCUUCCGAAGCAGCUAUGUACUCCGCUUCACAUGUAGAUCCCGCUACAACGCUUUGUUUAGAACUGCACCAACUGACAGCUCCACCGUUUAAUGUAAACACGUAUCCGGUUUGCGAUUUAGAAUCGUCCGGAUCAGUGUCAAAGCUUGCAUCAACGUAACCUUUUAUGAUGAGCUCUUUGUCACCUCCAUAUAUGAGAAACAUAUCCUUAGUCCUUUUCAGGUAUUUCAGGAUAUUCUUGACCGCUGUCCAGUGAUCCACUCCUGGAUUACUUUGGUACCUCCCUGCUAGACUUAUAGCAAGGCACACAUCAGGUCUGGUACACAGCAUUGCAUACAUGAUAGAGCCUAUGGCUGAAGCACAGGGAACAUCUUUCAUAUUCUCUCUAUCUUCUGCAGUGGUCGGGCAUUGAGUCUUACUCAACUUAACACCUUGUAACACAGGCAAGAACCCUUUCUUUGCUUGAUCCAUUUUGAACUUCUUCAAAACUUUGUCAAGGUAUGUGCUUUGUGAAAGUCCAAUUAAGCGUCUUGAUCUAUCUCUAUAGAUCUUAAUGCCUAAUAUGUAAGUAUCUUCACCGAGGUCUUUCAUUGAAAAACUCUUAUUCAAGUAUCCCUUUAUGCUAUCCAGAAAUUCUAUAUCAUUUCCAAUUAGUAAUAUGUCAUCCACAUAUAAUAUCAGAAAUGCUACAGAGCUCCCACUCACUUUCUUGUAAAUACAGGCUUCUCCAAAAGUCUGUAUAAAACCAAAUGCUUUGAUCACACUAUUAAAGCGUUUAUUCCAACUCCGAGAGGCUUGCACCAGUCCAUAAAUGGAUCGCUGGAGCUUGCACACUUUGUUAGCUCCCUCUGGAUCGACAAAACCUUCUGGUUGCAUCAUAUACAACUCUUCUUCCAGAAAUCCAUUCAGGAAUGCAGUUUUGACAUCCAUCUGCCAAAUUUCAUAAUCAUAAAAUGCGGCAAUUGCUAACAUGAUUCGGACAGACUUAAGCAUCGCUACGGGUGAGAAGGUCUCAUCGUAGUCAAUCCCUUGAACUUGCCGAAAACCUUUUGCGACAAGUCGAGCUUUGUAGACAGUAAUAUUACCGUCAGCGUCAGUCUUCUUCUUGAAGAUCCAUUUAUUCUCAAUUGCUUGCCGAUCAUCGGGCAAGUCAACCAAAGUCCAUACUUUGUUCUCAUACAUGGAUCCCAUCUCAGAUUUCAUGGCUUCAAGCCAUUUUGCGGAAUCUGGGCUCACCAUCGCUUCUUCAUAGUUCGUAGGUUCGUCAUGAUCUAGUAGCAUGACUUCCAGAACAGGAUUACCAUACCACUCUGGCGCGGAUCUCACUCUGGUUGAUCUACGAGGUUCAGUAGUAUCUUGUUCCGAAGUUUCAUGAUCAUCAUCAUUAGCUUCCUCACUAACUGGUGUAGGUGUCACAGAAACAAUUUUCUGUGAUGCACUACUUUCCAAUAAGGGAGCAGGUACAGUUACCUCGUCAAGUUCUACUUUCCUCCCACUCACUUCUUUCGAGAGAAACUCCUUCUCUAGAAAGUUUCCGAACUUAGCAACAAAAGUCUUGACUUCGGAUCUGUGAUAGAAGGUGUAUCCAAUAGUUUUCUUUGGAUAUCCUAUGAAGACACAUUUUUCCGAUUUGGGUUCGAGCUUAUCAGGUUGAAGCUUUUUCACAUAAGCAUCGCAGCCCCAAACUUUCAGAAACGACAACUUUGGUUUCUUGCCAAACCACAGUUCAUAAGGCGUCGUCUCAACGGAUUUUGAUGGUGCCCUAUUUAACGUGAAUGCGGCCGUCUCUAGAGCGUAUCACCAAAACGAUAGCGGUAAAUCAGUAAGAGACAUCAUAGAUCGCACCAUAUCUAGUAAAGUACGAUUACGACAUUCGGACACACCAUUACGCUGUGGUGUUCCGGGUGGCGUGAGUUGCGAAACUAUUCCACAAUUUUUCAAAUGUACACCAAACUCGUAACUCAAAUAUUCUCCUCCACGAUCAGAUCGUAGGAAUUUUAUUUUCUUGUUACGAUGAUUUUCUACUUCACUCUGAAAUUCUUUGAACUUUCAAAUGUUUCAGACUUGUGUUUCGUUAAGUAGAUAUACCCAUAUCUGCUUAAGUCAUCUAUGAAGGUGAGAAAAUAACGAUAUCCGCCAUGAGCCUCAAUAUUCAUCGGACCACAUACAUCUGUAUGUAUGAUUUCCAACAAAUCUGUUGCUCUCUCCAUAGUACCGGAGAACGGUGUUUUAGUCAUCUUGCCCAUGAGGCACGAUUCGCAAGUACCAAGUGAUUCAUAAUCAAGUGGUUCCAAAAGUCCAUCAGUAUGGAGUUUCUUCAUGCGCUUUACACCGAUAUGACCUAAACGGCAGUGCCACAAAUAAGUUGCACUAUCAUUAUUAACUCUGCAUCUUUUGGCUUCAACACUAUGAAUAUGUGUGUCACUACUAUCGAGAUUCAUCAAAAAUAGACCACUCUUUAAGGGUGCAUGACCAUAAAAGAUAUUACUCAUAUAAAUAGAACAACCAUUAUUCUCAGUUUUAAAUGAAUAACCGUCUCGCAUCAAACAAGAUCCAGAUAUAAUGUUCAUGCUUAACGCUGGCACCAAAUAACAAUUAUUUAGGUCUAAUAUUAAUCCCGAAGGUAGAUGUAGAGGUAGCGUGCCGACUGCGAUCACAUCGACUUUGGAACCGUUUCCCACGCGCAUCGUCACCUCGUCCUUAGCCAAUCUUCGCUUAAUCCGUAGUCCCUAUUUCGAGUUGCAAAUAUUAGCAACAGAACCAGUAUCAAAUACCCAGGUUCUACUGCGAGCAUUAGUAAGGUACACAUCAAUAACAUGUAUAUCACAUAUACCUUUGUUCACCUUGCCAUCCUUCUUAUCCGCCAAAUACUUGGGGCAGUUCCGCUUCCAGUGACCAGUCUGCUUGCAGUAGAAGCACUCAGUUUCAGGCUUAGGUCCAGGUUUGGGUUUCUUCUCUUGAGUAGCAACUUUCUUGCCAUUCUUUUUGAAGUUCCCCUUCUUCUUCCCUUUGCCCUUUUUCUUGAAAAUAGUGGUCUUGUUGACCAUCAACACUUGAUGCUCCUUCUUGAUUUCUACCUCCGCAGCUUUCAGCAUUGCGAAGAGUUCGGGAAUAGUCUUAUUCAUCCCUUGCAUAUUAUAGUUCAUCACGAAGCUCUUGUAGCUUGGUGGCAGUGAUUGGAGAAUUCUGUCGAUGACGCAAUCAUCUGGAAGAUUAACUCCCAAUUGAAUCAAGUGAUUAUUAUACCCAGACAUUUUGAGUAUAUGCUCACUGACAGAACUGUUCUCCUCCAUCUUGCAGCUAUAGAACUUAUUGGAGACUUCAUAUCUCUCAAUCCGGGCAUUUGCUUGAAAUAUUAACUUCAACUCCUGGAACAUCUCAUAUGCUCCAUGACGUUCAAAACGUCAUUGAAGUCCCGAUUCUAAGCCGUAAAGCAUGGCACACUGAACUAUCGAGUAGUCAUCAACUUUGCUCUGCCAGACGUUCAUAACAUCUGGUGUUGCUCCAGCAGCAGGCCUGGCACCCAGCGGUGCUUCCAGGACGUAAUUCUUCUGUGCAGCAAUGAGGAUAAUCCUCAAGUUACGGACCCAGUCCGUGUAAUUGCUACCAUCAUCUUUCAACUUUGCUUUCUCAAGGAACACAUUAAAAUUCAACGGAACAACAUCACGAGCCAUCUAUCUACAAUCAAGCAUAAACAAGCAAGAUACUAUCAGGUACUAAGUUUCAUGAUAAAUUUAGGUUCAAUUAAUUUACUUAAAGAACUCCCACUUAGAUAGACAUCCCUCUAAUCCUCUAAGUGAUUACGUGACCCAAAUCAACUAAACCAUGUCCGAUCAUCACGUGAGAUGGAGUAGUUUCAUUGGUGAACAUCACUAUGUUGAUCAUAUCUACUAUAUGAUUCAUGCUCGACCUUUCGGUAUCCGUGUUCCGAGGCCAUAUCUGUAUAUGCUUGGCUCGUCAACUAUAACCUGAGUAUUCCGCGUGUGCAACUAUUUUGCACCCGUUGUGUUUGAACGUAGAGCCUAUCACACCCGAUCAUCACGUGGUGUCUCAGCACGAAGAACUUUCGCAAUGGUGCAUACUCAGGGAGAACACUUCUUGAUAAUUAGUGAGAGAUCAUCUUAUAAUGCUACCAUCAAUCAAAGCAAGAUAAGAUGCAUAAAAGAUAAACAUCACAUGCAAUCAAUAUAAGUGAUAUGAUAUGGCCAUCAUCAUCUUGUGCUUGUGAUCUCCAUCGAAGCACCGUCGUGAUCACCAUCGUCACCGGCGCGACACCUUGAUCUCCAUCGUAGCGUCAUUGUCGUCACGCCAAUCUUAUGCUUCCAUGACUAUCGCUACCGUUUAGUGAUAAAGUAAAGCAUUACAGCGCGAUUGCAUUGCAUACAAUAAAGCGACAACCAUAUGGCUCCUGCCAGUUGCCGAUAACUCGGUUACAAAACAUGAUCAUCUCAUACAAUAAAUUUUAGCAUCAUGUCUUGACCAUAUCACAUCACAACAUGCCCUGCAAAAACAAGUUAGACGUCCUCUACUUUGUUGUUGCAAGUUUUACGUGGCUGCUACGGGCUUAAGCAAGAACCAAUCUUACCUACGCAUCAAAACCACAACGAUAGUUUGUCAAGUUGGUGCUGUUUUAACCUUUGCAAGGACCGGGCGUAGCCACACUCGGUUCAACUAAAGUUGGAGAAACUGUCACCCGCAAGCCACCUAUGUGCAAAGCACGUCGGGAGAACCGGUCUCGCGUAAGCGUACGCGUAAUGUCGGUCCGGGCCGCUUCGUCCAACAAUACCGCCGAACCAAAGUAUGACAUGCUGGUAAGCAGUAUGACUUAUAUCGCCCACAACUCACUUGUGUUCUACUUGUGCAUAUAACAUCAACAUAUAAAACCUAGGCUCGGAUGCCACUGUUGGGGAACGUAGUAAUUUCAAAAAAUUUCCUACGCACACGCAAGAUCAUGGUGAUGCAUAGCAACGAGAGGGGAGAGUGUGAUCUACGUACCCUUGUAGAUCAACAACGGAAGCGUUUGGUUGAUGUAGUCGUACGUCUCCACGGCCCGACCGAUCAAGCACCGAAACUACGGCACCUCCGAGUUCUAGCACACGUUCAGCUCGAUGACGAUCCCCGGGCUCCGAUCCAGCAAAAUGUGGGGAGGAGUUCCGUCAGCACGACGGCGUGGUGACGAUCUUGAUGUUCUACCAUCGCAGGGCUUCGCCUAAGCACCGCUACAAUAUGACCGAGGUGGAAUAUGGUGGAGGGGGGCACCGCACACGGCUAAGGAACGAUCACGAAGAUCAACUUGUGUGUCUAGGGGUGCCCCCUGCCCCCGUAUAUAAAGGAGCAAGGGGAGGAGGCCGGCCGGCCCCUAUAGGCGCGCCAGGAGGAGUCCUCCUCCUAGUAGGAGUAGGACUCCUACUAGGAGGGGGAAAGAAGUGGGGAGGGAGAGGGAAAGGGGGGCGCCGCCCCCCUCUCCUAGUCCAAUUCGGACCAGGGGGGAGGAGGCGCGCGGCCCACCUCUGGCAGCCCCUCUCUCUCUCUCNNNNNNNNNNNNNNNNNNNNNNNNNNNNNNNNNNNNNNNNNNNNNNNNNNNNNNNNNNNNNNNNNNNNNNNNNNNNNNNNNNNNNNNNNNNNNNNNNNNNNNNNNNNNNNNNNNNNNNNNNNNNNNNNNNNNNNNNNNNNNNNNNNNNNNNNGGUUCCGGUAACCCUCCGGCUCUCCGGUUUUCUCCGAAAUCACCCGAAACACUUCCGGUGUCCGAAUAUAGCCGUCCAAUAUAUCAAUCUUUAUGUCUUGACCAUUUCGAGACUCCUCGUCAUGUCCGUGAUCACAUCCGGGACUCCAAACUAACUUCGGUACAUCAAAACUCAUAAACUCAUAAUAUAACUGUCAUCGAAACCUUAAGCGUGCGGACCCUACGGGUUCGAGAACAAUGUAGACAUGACCGAGACACGUCUCCGGUCAAUAACCAAUAGCAGAACCUGGAUGAUCAUAUUGGCUCCUACAUAUUCUACGAAGAUCUUUAUCGGUCAGACCGCAUAACAACAUACGUUGUUCCCUUUGUCACCGGUAUGUUACUUGCCCAAGAUUCGAUCGUCGGUAUCUCAAUACCUAGUUCAAUCUCAUUACUGGCAAGUCUCUUUACUCGUUUCGUAAUACAUCAUCUCGCAACUAACUCAUUAGUUGCAAUGCUUGCAAGGCUUAUGUGAUGUGCAUUACCGAGAGGGCCCAGAGAUACCUCUCCGACAAUCGGAGUGACAAAUCCUAAUCUCGAAAUACGCCAACCCAACAUGUACCUUUGGAGACACCUGUAGAGCACCUUUAUAAUCACCCAUUUACGUUGUGACGUUUGGUAGCACACAAAGUGUUCCUCCGGCAAACAGGAGUUGCAUAAUCUCAUAGUCAUAGGAACAUGUAUAAGUCAUGAAGAAAGCAAUAGCAACAUACUAAAUGAUCGGGUGCUAAGCUAAUGGAAUGGGUCAUGUCAAUCAGAUCAUUCACCUAAUGAUGUGAUCUCGUUAAUCAAAUAACAACUCAUUGUUCAUGGUUAGGAAACAUAACCAUCUUUGAUUAACGAGCUAGUCAAGUAGAGGCAUACUAGUGACACUCUGUUUGUCUAUGUAUUCACACAUGUAUUAUGUUUCCGGUUAAUACAAUUCUAGCAUGAAUAAUAAACAUUUAUCAUGAUAUAAGGAAAUAAAUAAUAACUUUAUUAUUUCCUCUAGGGCAUAUUUCCUUCACUAUCAUGAAGAUCAUGGUGCUAUUUUGCAGCACAAGUGUGGCAAAAGGAUAGUAACAUUGCCCCUUCUCUCUUUUCUCUCAUUUUCUUAUUUUGGGCUCUUUGGCCUCUUGUUUUUUUCUCUUUUUUCUUCUCUUUAUUUAUUUAUUUAUUUUUUGUUCGAAGUCUCAUCCCCACUUGUGGGGGAAUCAUAGUCUCCAUCAUCCUUUCCUCACAUGGGACAAUGCUCUAAUAAUGAUGAUCAUAACACUUUUAUUUACUUACAACUCAAGAAUUACAACUCGAUACUAGAACAAAGAUAUGACUAUAUGAAUGCCUCCGGUGGUGUACCGGGAUGUGCAAUGACUCAAGAGUGACAUGUAUAAAAAAUAUGAAUGGUGGCUUUGCCACAAGUACAAUGUCAACUACAUGAUCAUGCAAAACAAUAUGACAAUGAUGAAGCAUGUCAUAAUAAACGGAAUGGUGGAAGUUGCAUGGCAAUAUAUCUUGGAAUGACUAUGGAAAUGCCAUAGUAGGUAGGUAUGGUGGCUGUUUUUAGGACAUGUAUAUGGUGGCUUUAAUGCACCAGCGAAAGUUGUGCGGUACUAGAGAGGCUAGCAAUGGUGGAAGGGUGAGAGUGCGUAUAAUCCAUGGAGUCAACAUGAGUCAUAAAAAACUCACAUACUUAUUGCAAAAGUCUAUUAGCUAUCGAAACAAAGUACUACACGCAUGCUUCUAGAGGGAUAGAUUGGUAGGAAAAGACCAUUUCUCGUCCCCGACUGCCACUCAUAAGGAAGACAAUCAAUAAAUAAAUCAUGCUCCCGCUUCAUCACAUAACGGUUCACCAUACGUGCAUGCUACGGGAAUCACAAACUUUAACACAAGUAUUUCUACCAAUCCACAAUUACUCACUAGCAUGACUCUAAUAUCACCAUCUUUAUAUCUCAAAAUAAUCAUAAGGAAUCAAACUUCUCAUAGUAUUCAAUGCACUUAAUAUGAAAGUUUUUAUUAUAUCCCUCUUGGAUGCCUAUCAUACUAGGACUAAAUUCAUAACCAAAGCAAAUUACCAUGCUGUUUAAAGUCUCUCAAAAUAAUAUAAGUGAAGCAUGACAGUUCAACAAUUUCUUCAAAAUAAAACCACCGUUGUGCUCUAAAAAGAUAUAAGUGAAGCACUAGAGCAACCACCAGAUCAAAAGAUAUAAGUGAAGCACAUAGGGUACUCUAAUAAAUUAAUGAUUAAUGUGUGUCCCUCUCAAAAGGUGUGUAAAACAAGGAAGAUUGUGGCAAACUAAAAAAGCAAAGACUCAUAUCAUAUAAGACGCUCCAAGCAAAACACAUAUAAUGUGGUGAAUAAAUAUAUAGCCUCAAGUAAAUCACCGAUGGAUUGAAGACGAAAGAGGGGAUGCCAUCCGGGGCAUCCCCAAGCUUAGAUGCUUGGUUGUCCUUGAAUAUUACCUUGGGGUGCCUUGGACAUCCCCAAGCUUAGGAUCUUUGCACUCCUUAUUCCAUAGUCCAUCAAAUCUUUACCCAAAACUUGAAAACUUCACAACACAAAACUCAACAGAAAACUCAUGAGAUCCGUUAGUAUAAUAAAUCAAAUCACCACUUAGGUACUAUUGUGAACUCAUUCUAAAUUCAUAUUGGUGUUAUAUCUACUGUAUUACAACUUUGGUUCAUACCCUCCAAUACUACCCAUGGUUUCGUCAAAAUAAGCAAACAACACAAUGAAAGUAGAAUCUAUCAAAAAUAGAAUAGUCUGUAGUAAUUUGGAAAUUUUGUAUAUUUCUGUAACUCCAAAAAUUCUGAAAAAUUUGGACAACCUGGGAAAUUUGUAUAUCAAUCUUGGGUAAAACAUUCAGAAUUUUUCCACGCUCCAGUGAAUUUAAACAAUUAUGGGAAUGAGUGCAAAAGUUUCUGUUUUUCAGCAAGAUCAAAUCAACUAUCCCCAUAGACCAUCCCAAAGGUCUUACUUGGCACUUUAUUGAAACAAAAGCUAUAAACAUGAUUAAUACAUUAGCAUAAUCAUGUGAACACACAAAAACAGUAGGGGUAAAUAUUGGGUUGUCUCCCAACAAGCGCUUUUCUUUAAUGCCUUUCUACUUAGGUAUGUUGAUGUCAAUGAUGCUCACAUAAAAGAUAAGAGUUGAAACAUAACGGGAGCAUCAUGAAGAAUAUGACUAGCAGAUUUAAGUCUAACCCACUUCCUAUGCAUAGGGAUUUUGUGAGCAAACAAUUCAUGGGAACAAGAAUCAACUAGCAUAGGAAGGUAAAACAAGCAUAACUUCAAACCUUUCAACACAUAGAGAGGGAACUUGAUAUUAUUGCAAUAUGUAAAAGCACAUGUUCCUCUCCCAUAGUAAUUUUCAGUAGCAUCAUGAAUGAAUUCAACAAUAUAACCAUCACAUAAAGAAUUCGUUUCAUGAUUCAAAAGCAUAGAAAUUUUACUACUCUCCACAUAAGCAAAAUUCUUCUCAAUCGGUAGUGGGAGUAUCAUAAGAAACUCGAAUACUAUAAAUUGUUUCCACAUUAAAAGAGUAAUGUUCAGAAAAAGGGUAAUCGUAAUCAUGCCAAGUUUUAUAAAUAUAAUCAUCACUACUUUUUAUAACAUAAGUGUCAUCACAAUAAUCAUCAUAAGUAGCAACUUCGUUCUCAUCAUAAUCAAUUGAAACCUCUUCCAAGAUAGUGGAAUCAUUACUAAAUAAAGCCAUGACCUCUUCAAAUCCACUUUUAUCAUUAUAAUAGGAUUCAACACCCUCCAAAAUAGUGGGAUAAUUAUUAUCUAAAGUUGACACUCUUCCAAGCCAACUUUUAUAAAUAUUGCAAUCAUCAUAAGUAGCAGGCAUGCUAUCAUCAUAAUAAAUUAUCACAUCAAAACUUGGGGGACAAGAAAUAUCAACUUCAUCAAACAUAGCAUCCGCAAGCUUAUGGCUUUGCAUAUCAUUAGCAUCAUGGAUAUUCAAAGAAUUCGUAUUAACAACAUUGCAAUCAUGCUCAUCAUUCAAAGAUUUAGUGCCAGACAUAUUAUUUAAUUCUUCUUCUAACACUUGAGCACAACUUUCCUUUCCAUCACUUUCACAAAAGACAUUAAAAAGAUGAAGCAUACGAGGCAACCUCAAUUCCAUUUUUUGUAGUUUUCUUUUAUAGACUAAACUAGUGAUAAAACAAGAAACUAAAAGAUUCAAUUGCAAGACCUAAAGAUAUACCUCCAAGCACUAAUCUCCCCGGCAACAACGCCAGAAAAGAGCUUGAUGUCUACUACGCAACCUUCUUUUUGUAGACUCGUGUUGGGCAUCCAAGCGCAGAGAUUUGUAGGACAACGGCAAAUUUCCCUCAAGUGUAUGACCUAAGGUUCAUCAAUCAGUGGGAGGCGUAGGAUGAAGAUGUCUCUCUCAAACAACCCUACAAGCAAAUAACAAAGAGUCUCUUGUGUUCCUAACACACCCAAUACAAUGGUAAAUUGCAUAGGUACACUAGUUCGGUGAAGAGAUGGUGAUACAAGUGUAAUAUGGAUAGUAGAUAUAGGUUUUUGUAAUCUGAAAAUAUAAAAACAGAAAGGUAACUAGUAACAAAAGUGAGCAACGGUAUUACAAUGCUUGGAAACAAGGCCUAGGGUUCAUACUUUCACUAGUGCAAGUUCUCUCAACAAUGAUAACAUAAUUAAAUCAUAUGGCAAUCCCUCAACGUGCAACAAAGAGUCACUCAAAAGUUCCUAUCACGGAGAACAUAAGAUGAAAUUGCUUGUAGGGUAUGAAACCACCACAAAGUUAUUCUUUCCGAUCAAUCCAUUGAGCUAUUCCUAUAAGUGUCACAAUCAGCCCUAGAGUUAGUACCAUCUUGUAGUGAACUGAUGUCUUCUUCAUUGUGCAGACAAAGAUCUUGUUGUUUUUUGUCGCUAAUUUCUUUAUCCUAACAAUCUUUCUGAGUUUCUUGAUUUGAUUGAUAUUCAUGGACAACUCAUUUCCCCAUAUGCAAAAAGGGUCGAACAGUGGGUCAAAACCUCUGACAGCAGGACCUACAUGUGCAAGACCAAAUUGUUAAAAACCAAAAUAUUAGAAUGGUUCCUCCAAUUGCACAAUAAUGUGCUAUUAGACAACGGACCAUGCACGUGCUAACCUCGAUUGUAAACCUCAGUGCUUCCCAUUGUUUCCCUACAACACAUAUAAGGUAGUUAGUUAUCAGGUUAAGUAAGGGUUCACAUGCUAUCAUGUAACACCCCGGAUAUGACUUUCCCAAUAUGUACUCCAACUCUUGCCGUUUCCGGCCUUAAGUUAUUUUAUUUUCUCGGGUUCAGGUUUUGUCUCCGUGUGUUGUUAUCGUUGUCAUGCAUCUCAUAUCAUGUCAUCAUGUGCAUUGCAUUUGCAUACGUGUUCAUCUCAUGCAUUCGAGCAUUUUCCCCGUUGUCCGUUUUGCGUUCUGGCGCUUCGUUCUCCUCCGGUGGUCAUUUCUACCUUUCUUUCGUGUGUGGGGAUUAAACAUUUCUGGAUUGGACCGAGACUUGCCAAGUGGCCUUGGUUUACUACCGGUAGACCGCCUGUCAAGUUUCGUACCAUUUGGACUUCGUUUGAUACUCCAACGGUUAACCGAGGGACCAGAAAGGCCUCGUGUGUGUUGCAGCCCAACACCCCUCCAUGUUGGCCCAAAACCCUCUCCAUCAUCUAGAGCGUUCAAUCACGAUCGCGUGGCCGAAAACCGCACCUCAUUUGGACUCUCCUAGCUCCCUCUACCUCUAUAUAAAGACCCCUCCUCCAAAUUCGCGGAUCCCCUCUCCCAAACUCUAAAAAAUCGUCUCCGCGCGGCCGGACAUGUCCGGACCGCGCCAGACACACCGCCGCCAGCCACUCCCGCGCUGCCACGUCACCGCCGCCGACCCGCGCGCCACCGGGGCCCGACGGCCCCAGAUCCGGCCCCCCGAGCCCACUCNNNNNNNNNNNNNNNNNNNNNNNNNNNNNNNNNNNNNNNNNNNNNNNNNNNNNNNNNNNNNNNNNNNNNNNNNNNNNNNNNNNNNNNNNNNNNNNNNNNNNNNNNNNNNNNNNNNNNNNNNNNNNNNNNNNNNNNNNNNNNNNNNNNNNNNNNNNNNNNNNNNNNNNNNNNNNNNNNNNNNNNNNNNNNNNNNNNNNNNNNNNNNNNNNNNNNNNNNNNNNNNNNNNNNNNNNNNNNNNNNNNNNNNNNNNNNNNNNNNNNNNNNNNNNNNNNNNNNNNNNNNNNNNNNNNNNNNNNNNNNNNNNNNNNNNNNNNNNNNNNNNNNNNNNNNNNNNNNNNNNNNNNNNNNNNNNNNNNNNNNNNNNNNNNNNUCCGGCCGCCCCUCGCCGCCUCCUGCCUCGCCGAUGUCGCGCCACCGCCCCGCCGCUCCAAGAAGCCGCGCCGGCGACCCCUCUCGCUGGAUCCGUCGACCCCCUCGCCGGACUGCUUCCCUCCAGCGACCACCUCACUCGCCGGCGAUCCUCGGGCCGCGUGCAGCUACAGUACCCGCCGGACCCGAUCUGGAUCUGAGAUCCAAAACUCGGUUGACUUUUGCCCCGAAACCCUAAUAAUUUUCUUCUGUUCAUCGUGCUAUAACUUUGCAUCCGUAGCUCCGUUUUGGGCAUAUAGCAUAUCAAAAUGUUCGUCUCAGAGAGUGCAUCAUUUCAUCUCAUUGCAUCAUUUUCAUUUGAGUUCAUCUUGAUGCCCGAAAUGCUGUUAGAAGAGUGCUACUUGAGAUAAUUGUCAGAUCUGCUGCUCCAUUUAGAUAUUUGUCAUUUUUGCCAAGAUUAUUGUGUGCAUGAUAUGCCCAUGAGUUCUACAUAUGUUUGUUAAGGGUUUUGCCAUCUUUCUGGAGGUGCAACCCAUGUAUUUUUGUGAUGUGUUUGGUGACCAGCACAAGUUUGCAAAGUGAGGCACUUGGUAAUGUUGAUUUCAGGGACUUAGCAUUUCCACUAAGUCCUUGACCUGUUUAUUUCAUAUUGCCAUAUGUUCAUGUCGUUUCCUAGUGAUCCGUGCCUCUUUUGAGGAUGAUCAGUAAGGAUGUUUAAUUAAUCUUGUAGUGCUCUAUCCAUCCAUGUCUUUGUUUGCAAUUAUGGAGCACCCUAGCUUGAGUCAAUCGAGCUCUACUUUUGCUACUUCGUGAAUCCGGGCAGAUUGUCUACUUGUUAGCAAUUUUGCCGGGGAUGUUGUAGUUGAUCCGUGCAUGCUAUGUUAUUGUUCUUGUCAGGUCUAGCUUGCAUUUUAUGUAUUCUUGAUGGGUGUAUUCUUAGCUUUUCAUGACUUUCUCCAUAGUGAGUGCAUCGAGCUCGUAAACAUGCCUACUUGAUACCUGUUUCAGCAUGCUCCAGUUUUCACUAAGUCUGAAAACUGAUUAUGUUUUUGCUAUGUUCACAUGCUUGCAAAUGUGUUUUCUGAUCCCUUUUGGCUCAAGGUCACUAAGGGACUUUUGUUAAGGUUUUUGAGUAGCUCCAUGCCAUGUUUUACUUUGCCAUGUUCAGGUCCUGUAGCAUGUAGUUUUGUUGCUCCAAAGAGUGCUAUCUGAUCUGAAAUUCCAGACAAGUGUUAAUUUCACUAAGUCUGAAAUCUGUUUACCAUAUGCAUUUUUGCCAUGAUUGUUUGAACCUGUUAAUGGAUGAAUUGGCCGUAGCUCAGUGCUAGACUUUUGUUAAGCUUCAUGAAUGAAUCCCUACCAUGUAUUUUGUUGUCAUGUUUGGGUGCUGUAGCAUGUUCAUCUCAUUGCAUUUAGAUGGCUACUUGCUGUAAAUCGCAGACCGGUGUCAUUUUUGAAUCGCUUGCCAUUUCCAAACCGUAACUCCUAUUCCGUUGUUCUUUAUAUCAUUUUCAAGCGAUUUCAUCUCAUCUUUCCAGUGGCACACUUGGUUUUACAAGUUGAGGCCAGGUUCAUGCAUUUCCUGUCAUAUCUUGCAUUUUGCAUCCCGCAUCGCACUCCGCAUAGCAUAUCAUCAUUUCAUCAUAUUGCUUGGUCUUGCACGUGGUUGAUUGUAUCCUUGUUGCUUGUUUGUCUUGUUUGGGUAGAGCCGGGAGACGAGUUCGCUAACGAGGAGCCCGUUGAGUUUGCUUUUGAGGAUCCAGUCAACUCUGACAACUGUGCAGGCAAGAUGACCAUACCCUCGAAAUCACUACUAUCUUUGCUAUGCUAGUUUGCUCGCUCUUUUGCUAUGCCAAUGCUACGAUGCCUACCACUUGCUUUCAAGCCUCCCAAAUUUCCAUGUCAAACCUCUAACCCACCAUGUCCUAGAAAACCGUUGAUUGUCUAUGUUACCGCUUUGCUCAGCCCCUCUUAUAGCGUUGCUAGUUGCAGGUGAAGAUUGGAGGCCGUUCCUUGUUGGAACAUUUAUUUACUUGUUGGGAUAUCAUUAUAUUAUCUUGUUAUCUUAAUGCAUCUAUAUACUUGGUAAAGGGUGGAAGGCUCGGCCUCUCGCCUAGUGUUUUGUUCCACUCUUGCCGCCCUAGUUUCCGUCAUAUCGGUGUUAUGUUCCCGGAUUUUGCGUUCCUUACGCGGUUGGGUUAUAAUGGGAACCCCUUGAUAGUUCAUCUCGAUUAAAGAUUUUCCAGCAAUGCCCAACCUUGGUUUUACCAUUUUCCACCUAGCCUCUUUUUCCCUUGGGUUUCCGGAGCCCGAGAGUCAUCUUAUUUUAACCCCCCCGGGCCAGUGCUCCUCUGAGUGUUGGUCCACCUGUCAGCUGCCGGUGGCCACCAGGGGCAACUCUGGGCUGGCCUACCCGUACCUAGGACAAUCUAAGUGUGCCCUGAGAAAGAGAUAUGUGCAGCUCCUAUCGGGAUUUGUCGGCACAUUCCGGUGGUGUUGCUGGAUUUGUUUUAACCCGUCGAAGUGUCUUGAAGAACCGAGGUACCGAGUCUGAUCGGAACGUCUCGGGAGGACGUCUAUUCCUUCGUUGACCGUGAGAGCUUGUCAUGGGCUAAGUUGGGACUCCCCUGCAGGGAUUUGAACUUUCGAAAGCCGUGCCCGCGGUUAUGGGCAGAUGGGAAUUUGUUAAUGUCCGAUUGUAGAUAACUUGAACCUUAACUUAAUUAAAAUGAAUCAACAGUGUGAGUUACCGUGAUGGACUCUUCUCGGCGGAGUCCGGGAAGUGGACACGGUGUUGGAGUAAUGCUUGCGCAGGUUGUUUCUCUAGUUUCUCGCUCGCGCUUUGCCUCCUCUUCUCGCUCUCUUUUGCGAAUAGGUUAGCCACCAUAUAUGCUAGUCGCUUGCUGCAGCUCCACAUAUAUUUACCUUACCUUACCUAUUAAGCUUAAAUAGUCUUGAUCGCGAGGGUGCGAGAUUGCUGAGUCCCUAUGGCUCACAUAUUACUAUUACACUAGAUGCAGGGCCUGAUGAUUCCGCUCCAAGUGACACGCUUGAGCUCAAGUGGGAGUUCGACGAGGACUCUCAACGAUACUAUGUUUCCUUUCCUGAUGAUCAGUAGUGGUGCCCAGUUGGGGGUGAUUGGGACCGUGUCGCAUGUUGAGUUGUCUUUUAUUUUGGCGCCGUAGUCGGGCCAUGAGUGUUUGAAUGAUGUAAUGCUAUUUUAUGUACUUGAUUGACGUGGCGAGUGUAAGCCAACUAUGUUAUCUCCCCUUUUAUUAUCUAUAUUACAUGGGAUGUUGUGAUGAUUGCCUAACUUGCGACAUAUGCCUUCAAUGCGAUUAUGUCUCUAAGUUGUGCCUCGACACGUGGGAGCUAUAGUCGCAUCGAGGGUGUUACAUAUCAGUAAAAUAUGUUGAUGAAAAAUAAGCACAUUGCAGAUUCAUCAGAUUAAUUGAAGCCACACAGAAAACCCAUUUACCCAAACCAAGCAGGAUUAAGAACUAGGAAAUAUAGCACUUGUAUAUGUUUCUCAUGUAUUAAGUGUAGUAAAAUUUGAUUUAUUCCUCACAUGCACAACAAUACAAAAUUCUACCCACAACAAUUGGACAUCGUAUUGCAGAAUUGAACCAAACAGUUAACUAAACACUACAGCAAAUGAACCAAACAUUAACUGAGCACCAUAUUGCAGAAUUGAACCAAGAAUUGAACAUCACAUUUGCAGAAUUGAACCAAACAGUUAACUGAAGACGACAACUAAUUAAAAAAAUAGUUAAUAAGUGAGCACCACACUACACGACAUAUAGAACAUAUACACUAGAGCAACAGAUUGCAUGGUGAAAGGUAGGAGCAGCACACGCAACGGGUAAACCGAGCAUGCUUAACCGGCGUAGCUAGCAAUUGGCAAGGUGCGCCUUCAAGAUCUGGGGGUCGUCACGAAUUGUAGCCAUCACGACCUCAUCCACGCGUGCGGCCGUGAUUUGCUUCUCCGCUGCCAAAUGCUCCUUGAGGUCCUGGCUAUACUGCGUGCACCAUGGCUUAGGCCGACGCUUAUUUGGUGGAGGAGUCGGUGAUUUGGGUGGAAGGUGCCGCGCUCGCGCCGGCGGUAGGGGCCUGUGGGAUGUGGAAGGAGGAGGAGGAUGGGGGUCGGGUGUGGAUUACCUGCCUGGAUAGGCGAGGCCGAGGAGCAUGAAGGAGGGUCACCGGCGAGGAGGCGGCGGCGCUGCAAGAAAGGAGUGAAGGUUUCAACUUGGAAAGGAAGGAGGAAAGAGGGGAAAAUGUGACUUUUGGUAAGGGGGAGGGGGCGGGGAGGUAGAUAUUUCCGCGGAAGCCGAAAAUUUGGAAUCGCUUCAGACAAAAAACUGGCGUGCAAAGUGUCAUCAGACACGGUCCCUUAUUCACAACUGUGUAUGAUAUGUGGACAUCACAAACGAUUCAAAUAGCUUAACCCGUGUGUGAUGAGUUUGAACGUCAAAAGUUUUGGUUUAAAUUUCCAUGGUUACAGUGGUUAUCCACUUCAUUGCAUAAUUUGGGUACACAAAGGAACUACAUCACACCCACACUUCUUAAUCGAGCAAGUUCAUCAAUUAAACAGAGCUAGCUGACCUAAACAUUACUCUAACAAAUUAAAGACCAACGCUCUUAAUUAAACAAAACAAAGAGUACUACUACGACUGGUGCUCGUCGAUCUCCGCCGCCGCCUCCAUGUGCAGCUCGCGCUCGACGGUCUCCUGGGCAAGGGGCUCCAUGGCAUCCAUCGCACCAUACUCGGCAAGCAUCUCACCAUCCGCGUCCGCCAUCUCUUUGGAAAAGGCCGCCACGAGCUGGGCGUAGGCAGACGCGAUCUGGGCUUGGACGGGCUCUGUUGUCGCAAGGUAUGCGACGGAGGAAUGGGCGGCUGCUCGAACGCUCUCGGCGAUUGCCAGCUCUUCGGCUGUGGGUUGCCGACUGUUGUCGGAGAAGCUUUGUUUGAUUUGUGCGGUGACCGCCAGGAGCUGGGCGUGGGCGGCCUUGACAUGGUCGUGGGUGGCCUCCAUCAGGGCUAAGACCGCCACUGCGGAACGGACAGCUGCUGUGCCGCUCUCGCCAGUUGCUAUCCCCGAGGCAGAUGUUUCUGCCGCCACCUGAGAAGAAACAAUGGCCGUUCGGGCUGCCUUUGCCGCCCGGUCGCAAAUUGCGGCCGCACUCAUGCACCUUGUUAGCACGCGCAUGGCGGCUGUGCCGCUCUCUCGCUAGAGUGGGCCAUCGAAGUUUCCCUCAUGAUGCAGGUCCACGUGCCGAUCUUUCACCGGUGACGAUUGAAUAGUGAAAUAAUAUUUGGGGAGCGAGCUAGUGUGCUUGAGAUGCCGGCUGUGGACUGUAGCCGACACACCUUCUCGAGUAAGCCAUAGGCGUACUAUACACCAACAAUGCUCCAAUAUAUCUUGUACUACAUCUCACACGAUUGCUGAUAAUAAACUAUGUGCGAUCUACUUGAUUUUUCAUCUUGAUUUGACUUACAUAAUGGGGUCACAAUGGCAAUGGACGGUGUUUGAAUUGCUAGACCUUUUAUCUGGAGUGAACAUGCAACUAUAUGUGUGUCGUAAAAGAAUUGGAAUUAUUCAGGGUUCAUUUGAACAUUUUAUACAUUAAAUUGGUUUUCUAGCCAUUUAAGGUGAACAAUUCAAAUUUGAACUACAUGCACAUGCUCCAGUGCAUAUAAAUUGGUUGAAAUAUCAAAUCUGUGUCCUUGGGUGCAUGCUUAGGUCCCAUGCAAGAAAUGGGAAUGAAUUUCAAACACUAGGGCACCGUUGAUUGCCGACAAAACAUUGAGAUGCCUGGUUUUUAAAUUCUAGUAAAUCCAAAACUCGUCUGAAAUUCAUGAAACUUGGCAUGCUAUCAUGGAGCGGCAUCAACAUGCCGUGGUACAAAUUUUGUCCCAUUUGGGGCAGGUUUGGGUAUAUGCUUCUCACAAACCGGAGCUUCUCACAACAAGCAUGAUGGUUUUCGGUAGGGAAUGUCCCACCUUUGGGGACGAAAUGAUAUCCAUUGCCUCUUAUUGUUUUCAAAUUUUUUUCUCAUGUCAACAUAGAACAACACGAGUGUUGUGUGAAUUUUUGUGAUUUUUCGGGGUUCGUUUGGACAUUUUUAUGCAUUAAUUGAGUUUUCAAUGCAUUUUAUGUGCAUAAUUCAAAUUUGAACUACAUGCACAUGCUCCAAUGCAUAUAAAUUGGUUAAAAAUCAAAUCUGUGUCCUUGGGUGCAUGCUUAGGUCCCAUGCAAGAAACGGGAAUGAAUUUCAAACACUUGGGCACCGUUGAUUGCCGGCAAAACAUUGAGAUGCCUGAUUUUUAAAUUCUAGUAAAUCAAAAACUCGUCUAAAAUUCAAAAAAAUUGGCAUGCUAUCAUGGAGCGGCAUCAACAUGCCAUGGUAAAUUUUUUGUCUCAUUUGGGACAGGUUUGGGUAUAUGCUUCUCACAAACCGAAGCUUCUCACAACAAUCAUGAUGGUUUUCGGUAGGGAACGUCCCACCUUUGGGGACAAAACGAUAUCCAUUGCCUCUUAUUGAUUUCAAUUUUUUUCCCGUGUCAACAUAAAACAACAGGAGUGUUGUGUGAAUUUUCUUUGAUUUUUCGGGGUUUGUUUGGACAUUUUUAUGCAUCAAUUGAUUUUUCAAUGCAUUUAAUGUGCAUAAUUCAAAUAUGAACUACAUGCACAUGCUCCAGUGCAUAUAAAUUGGUUGAAAAAUCAAAUCUGUGUCCUUGGGUGCAUGCUUAGGUCCCAUGCAAGAAAUGGGAAUGAAUUUCAAACAUCGGGGCACCGUUGAUUGUCGACAAAACAUUGAGAUGCCUGGUUUUUAAAUUCUAGUAAAUCAAAAAAUAGUCUAAAAUUCGUGAAACUUGGCAUGCUAUCAUGGAGCGGCAUCAACAUGCCGCGGUAAAUUUUCUGUGUCAUUUGGGACAGGUUUGGGUAUAUGCUUCUCACAAACCAAAGCUUCUCACAACAAGCAUGAUGGUUUUCGGUAGGGAAUGUCCCACCUUUGGGGACGAAAUGAUAUCCAUUGCCUCUUAUUGCUUUCAAUUUUUUUCUCCUGUCAACAUAGAACAACAGGUGUGUUGUGUGAAUUUUUGUGAUUUUUCAGGGUUCGUUUGGACAUUUUUAUGCAUUAACUGAGUUUUCAAUGCAUUUAUGUGCAUAAUUCAAAUUUGAACUACAUGCACAUGCUCCAGUGCGUAUAAAUUGGUUGAAAAAUCAAAUAUGUGUCCUUGGGUGCAUUCUUAGGUCCCAUGCAAGAAAUGGGAAUGAAUUUCAAACACUAGGGCACCAUUGAUAGCCGACAAAACAUUGAGAUGCCUGGUUUUUAAAUUCUAGUAAAUCCAAAACUCGUCUGAAAUUCAUGAAACUUGGCAUGCUAUCAUGGAGAGGCAUCAACAUGCCGUGGUACAAGUUUUGUCCCAUUUGGGGCAGGUUUGGGUAUAUGCUUCUCACAAACUAGAGCUUUUCACAACAAGCAUGCUGGUUUUCGAUAGGGUACGUACCACCUUUGGGGACGAAACGAUAUCCAAUGCCUCUUAUUGCUUUCAAUUUUUUUCUCGGGUCAACAUAGAACAACAGGAGUGUUGUGUGAAUAUUUGUGAUUUUUCAGGGUUUGUUUGGACAUUUUUAUGCAUCAACUGAAUUUUCAAUGCAUUUAUGUGCAUAAUUCAAAUUUGAACUACAUGCACAUGCUCCAACGCAUAUAAAUUGGUUGAAAAAUCAAAUCUGUGUCCUUGGGUGCAUGCUUAGGUCCCAUGCAAGAAAUGGGAAUGAAUUUCAAACACUAGGGCACUGUUGAUUGCCGGCAAAACAUUGAGAUGCCUGGUUUUUAAAUUCUAGUAAAUCCAAAACUUGUCUGAAAUUCAUGAAACUUGGCAUGCUAUCAUGGAGCGGCAUCAACAUGCCGUGGUACAAAUUUGUCCCAUUUGGGGCAAGUUUGGGUAUAUGCUUCUUACAAACCGGAGCUUCUCACAACAAGCAUGUUGGUUUUUCGUAGGGAACGUCCCACCUUUGGGGACAAAACGAUAUCCAUUGCCUCUUAUUGCUUUCAAAUUUUUUCUCGUGUCAACAUAGAACAAUAGGAGUGUUUUGUGAAUCUCGGGGUUCGUUUGGACAUUUUUAUGCAUUAACUGAGUUUUCAAUGCAUUUAUGUGCAUAAUACAAAUUUGAACUACAUGCACAUGCUCCAGUGCAUAUAAAUUGGUUGAAAAAUCAAAUCUGUGUCCUUGGGUGCAUGCUUAGGUCCCAUGCAAGAAAUGGGAAUGAAUUUCAAACACUAGGGCACCGUUGAUUGCCGACAAAACGUUGAGAUGCCUAGUUUUUAAAUUCUAGUAAAUCCAAAACUCGUCUGAAAUUCAUGAAACUUGGCAUGCUACCAUGGAGCAGCAUCAACAUGCCGUGGUACAAAUUUUGUCUCAUUUGGGGCAGGUUUGGGUCUAUGCUUCUCACAAACUGGAGCUUCUCACAACAAGCUUGAUUGUUUUCGGUUGGGAACGUCCCACCUUUGGGGACGAAACGAUAUCCAUUACCUCUUAUUGCUUUCAAUUUUUUUUCUUGUGUCAACAUAGAACAAUAGGAGUGCUGUGUGAAUUUUUGUGAUUUUCCGGGGUUCAUUUGUACAUUUUUAUGCAUUAACUGAUUUUUAAUGCAUUUAAUGUGCAUAAUUAAAAUUUGAACUACAUGCACAUGCUCCAGUGCAUAUAAAUUGGUUGAAAAAUCAAAUCUGUGUCCUUGGGUGCAUGCUUAGGUCCCAUGCAAGAAAUGGGAAUGAAUUUCAAACACCGGGGCACCGUUGAUUGCUGGCAAAACAUUUAGAUGCCUGGUUUUUAAAUUCUAGUAAAUCAAAAACUCAUGUGAAAUUCAUGAAACUUGGCAUGCUAUCAUCGGUAUCAAUAUGCUGUGGUAAAUUUUGUGUCCCAUUUGGGGCAGGUUUGGGUAUAUGCUUCUCACAAACCGGAGGUUCUCACAACAAGCAUGAUGGUUUUCGGUAGGGAACGUCCCACCUUCGGGGACAAAACAAUAUCCAUUGCCUCUUAUUGCUUUCAAAAUUCUUUCUCAUGUCAACAUAGAACAACAAGAGUGUUGUGUGAAUUUUUGUGUAUUUUGGGGUUCGUUUGGACAUUUUUAUUCAUUAACUGAGUUUUCAAUGCAUUUUAUGUGCAUAAUUCAAAUUUAAACUACAUGCACAUGCUCCAGUGCAUAUAAAUUGGUUGAAGAAUAAAAUCUGUGUCGUUGGGUGCAUGCUUAGGUCCCAUGCAAGAAAUGAGAAUGAAGUUCAAACACUAGGGCACCGUUGAUUGCCGGCAAAACAUUGAGAUGCCUGGUUUUUAAAUUCUAGUAAAUCAAAAACUCAUCUGAAAUUCAUGAAACUUGACAUUCUAUCAUGGAGUGGCAUCAACAUGCCGUGGUACAAAUUUUGUCCCAUUUGGGGCAGGUUUGGGUAUAUGCUUCUCACAAACCAGAGCUUCUCACAACAAGCAUGAUGGUUUUCGGUAGGGAAUGUCCCACCUUUGGGGACGAAAUGAUAUCCAUUGCCUCUUAUUACUUUCAAUUUUUUUCUCAUGUCAACAUAGAACAACAGGUGUGUUGUGUGAAUUUUUGUGAUUUUUCGGGGUUCGUUUGGACAUUUUUAUGCAUUAACCGAGUUUUCAAUGCAUUUAUGUAUAUAAUUCAAAUUUGAACUACAUCCACAUGCUCUAGUGCAUAUAAAUUGGUUAAAAAAAUCAAAUCUGUGUCAUUGGGUGCAUUCUUAGGCCCCAUGCAAGAAAUGGGAAUGAAUUUCAAACACUAGGGCACCGUUGAUUGCCGGCAAAACAUUGAGAUGCCUGGUUUUUAAAUUCUAGUAAGUCCAAAAAUCGUCUGAAAUUCAUGAAACUUGCAUGCUAUCAUGGAGAGGCAUCAACAUGCCGUGGUACAAGUUUUGUCCCAUUUGGGGCAGGUUUGGGUAUAUGCUUCUCACAAACUAGAGCUUUUCACAACAAGCAUGCUGGUUUUCGAUAGGGUACGUACCACCUUUGGGGACGAAACGAUAUCCAAUGCCUCUUAUUGCUUUCAAUUUUUUUCUCGGGUCAACAUAGAACAACAGGAGUGUUUUGUUUGGACAUUUUUAUGCAUCAACUGAAUUUUCAAUGCAUUUAUGUGCAUAAUUCAAAUUUGAACUACAUGCACAUGCUCCAACGCAUAUAAAUUGGUUGAAAAAUCAAAUCCGUGUCCUUGGGUGCAUGCUUAGGUCCCAUGCAAGAAAUGGGAAUGAAUUUCAAACACUAGGGCACUGUUGAUUGCCGGCAAAACAUUGAGAUGCCUGGUUUUUAAAUUCUAGUAAAUCCAAAACUCGUCUGAAAUUCAUGAAACUUGGCAUGCUAUCAUGGAGCGGCAUCAACAUGCCGUGGUACAAAUUUGUCCCAUUUGGGGCAAGUUUGGGUAUAUGCUUCUUACAAACCGGAGCUUCUCACAACAAGCAUGUUGGUUUUUCGUAGGGAACGUCCCACCUUUGGGGACAAAACGAUAUCCAUUGCCUCUUAUUGCUUUCAAAUUUUUUCUCGUGUCAACAUAGAACAAUAGGAGUGUUUUGUGAAUCUCGGGGUUCGUUUGGACAUUUUUAUGCAUUAAUUGAGUUUUCAAUGCAUUUAUGUGCAUAAUACAAAUUUGAACUACAUGCACAUGCUCCAGUGCAUAUAAAUUGGUUGAAAAAUCAAAUCUGUGUCCUUGGGUGCAUGCUUAGGUCCCAUGCAAGAAAUGGGAAUGAAUUUCAAACACUAGGGCACCGUUGAUUGCCGACAAAACGUUGAGAUGCCUAGUUUUUAAAUUCUAGUAAAUCCAAAACUCGUCUGAAAUUCAUGAAACUUGGCAUGCUACCAUGGAGCAGCAUCAACAUGCCGUGGUACAAAUUUUGUCUCAUUUGGGGCAGGUUUGGGUCUAUGCUUCUCACAAACCGGAGCUUCUCACAACAAGCAUGAUGGUUUUCGGUAGGGAACGUCCCACCUUUGGGGACGAAACGACAUCCAUUGCCUCUUAUUGCUUUCAAUUUUUUUCUCGUGUCAACGUAGAACAACAGGAGUGUUGUGUGAAUUUUUGUGAUUUUUCGCGGUUCGUUUGGACAUUUUUAUGCAUUAACUGAGUUUUCAAUGCAUUUAUGUGCAUAAUUCAAAUUUGAACUACAUGCACAUGCUCCAGUGCAUAUAAAUUGGUUGAAAAAUCAAAUAUGUGUCCUUGGGUGCAUGCUUAGGUCCCAUGCAAGAAAUGGGAAUGAAUUUCAAACACUAGGGCACCGUUGAUUGCCGACAAAACAUUGAGAUGCCUGGUUUUUAAAUUCUAGUAAAUCCAAAACUCGUCUGAAAUUCAUGAAACUUGGCAUGCUAUCAUGGAGCGGCAUCAACAUGCCGUGGUACAAAUUUUGUCCCAUUUGGGGGCACGUUUGGGUAUAUGCUUCUCACAAACCGGAGCUUCUCACAACAAGCUUGAUUGUUUUCGGUUGGGAACGUCCCACCUUUGGGGACGAAACAAUAUCCAUUACCUCUUAUUGCUUUCAAUUUUUUUUCUUGUGUCAACAUAGAACAAUAGGAGUGCUGUGUGAAUUUUUGUGAUUUUCCGGGGUUCAUUUGUACAUUUUUAUGCAUUAACUGAGUUUUCAAUGCAUUUAUGUGCAUAAUUAAAAUUUGAACUACAUGCACAUGCUCCAGUGCAUAUAAAUUGGUUGAAAAAAAAUCAAAUAUGUGUCCUUGGGUGCAUGCUUAGGUCCCAUGCAAGAAAUGGGAAUGAAUUUCAAACACCAGGGUACCAUCGAUUGCCAACAAAACAUUGAGAUGCCUGGUUUUUAAAUUCUAGUAAAUCCAAAAUUCUGUUAACCAUUCACGCGACGCCACGUGUUUUGGUUUUAAUGGCUGUAGGAGGUGCUGUGCGGACAUUUGCUUGACCUUGACUGAACGGGAGGCGUGCGAGCGCCGUCCAGUGCGCAGGAUGACCGAGAGGCGUGCAAGCUGUCCUCGAGUGUGCAGGCUCACCGGGAAGCGUGCGAGCUGUACGCUACGCAGGCCCCCUCGGAAGCGAGCCCUUUGACUUCCAUGGCCGCCCUCAUUGCUCGCAUCCUCUCCAUUAAUGGCGCCCAAGCCAUAGUUUAAUUCGUUUUUUAAAUAUGAAACACUCAUCGCAAACGUUUUAGUUGGAACACCCGUAUGCAAACCGACAGCUUCCCUAGGAAGCCAAGAGAAAAUGAGCCGAGCAGGAUUUCUGCAGCUCUUGAUCACAAACGUUUUAGAUAGAACACCCGUAUGCAAAGUGAGAGCAAUGCAGGAUUUGUGCAUCCCUUCAACGCAAACUGUUGUUUUGGAUGAACUGUGUGCAACCACGUACAAACAAUUUGGUAAGAUUUGUCAAUCCUUGUAACACUGCAAUUUGUCAAAAUAUGAAGCUAAAAAUCACUAGCAGUAUCUAAUUUUUGCAACUAAAAUUCAGUAAUUAAGCACAGAUUUCAUUCAUAGAUUAAGCAGUCAUUCUUAAUUUAUACAAACAGUUCAACUUGACAGGUGAACCGACCAAACUUUUCCUCAAUUGUUGCCAACCACGUACUGAAAUAGCUAGUUCAACUAUAUAUACUAGCUAAUUUUAAGUACGUUGUACAGUUCCACCACAUCUAUAGUCAGAUGAACUAAACAAAAUAGCCCCUAAAUACUACUACUACUACUGCAGGGGGGGGGGGGCUUUGUACUACUUUCGGCUGCCUCUCCUCUGCCGAGCACGCUCAGUAAGAGGCGGUGCCUGCCGCUAAUGCAGCUUUAGCGACGGUCACCUCGAACGCCCUCUGCCGCUCCAGACGACCCCUCUCGAAGCAGUGGUUCUCCUCGUAGAUCUUCUAAUUCCUUGCCUCUGAGGCCGCGUGUGCCGCGGCCACUGCGGUGGUAAGGCUCUUUGCGUGCUCGACGAGGCGCUCCUCCUCCUCCCGCAGGAACUCGGUGUAGUGCGCAAGGUCGCUGUCGCACGUGCGGGCAUCCACCUCCACCUCCCGCUCUCGGGCGGUGGUGGCGGAGCGGGUGAUGACCCCGUCGGUCGACGGUGGGCUGGCGGCCACGGCGGCCGAUGAAGGGGUGGCGGCCACGACCACCACCUCCCGCCUUCGUGCCGCGGUGGCGGAGUGGGUGAUGACUACAGUGGCCGGCAGUGGGGUGGUGGCCACAAUGUCCAUCUCCCGCCUUCGGGCCGCGGCGGCAGAGCAGGUGAUGGCCCUAGCUUUCGACGGUGGUGUGGCGGCAACGGCGACCGGCAACAGCUGCCGACGGGCACCAGCGGUGGAGCGUGUGGUGGGUGUUCCGCACACACCCAACAGGGACGCCACACGCACUACACUAUGCCGGGGACUGCGCCGCCGCCGCGGUGUAGCCUCCUAGCUAGAGCUGUCCUCUGAUGACGACAAAGUAGUUGAGAGAAGACGACGGAUCGGUGCCAUUGGUGAAUGUGGGAGAAGCAGGCGAGAUAAGCUACAGGUAUGGAGGGGAAAAUGCGACGCAGGACUCGCCGGCCUUGAGGGUUUUUAUAGAAGGCCGGUAAGCAUUGGGAUUUUGGGGGAUUUCACUGAGUCGGAUAGGAAGCUUGCGCGGGAACCUGCGAGGUUGCCUGAGAAUGGGCUCACCGACGAUUCAUUGGCGCCACCAUUGGGCAAAAAGAACACCCCCCCGCGCUGCACAAGCUUGCGUUGUAAGCCGUCUGCGGCAGCGGGGUGACAAGACGUGCGGGAGGAGGACGAAGGGCCACGUACACAUACGGUUAAUAAAAAAAUGUUUGCGAUUUAUUACCUACUAUACCACCGUCCUGGUUUAUAAGUAUGAUUUAACUAAUAAAAUACGAAUGCAUGUCACCAAAGAUUAUAUAGUUGGAUUUGUAUUUGAACAUAGUUUCCAAUUAUAUAAUUUUUAAAACAUGCAUUAACAUUUUGUUGGUUAAAUUUGAGGGCAAAGUAUGGCACGAAAUAUAAACUAUAGACUAGACGGAGGUGGUACCACAUGGCCGCUCUCUACGCAGCGACGCAACUGUCGGCCAACUUGUAGGCGACCAUUUCCUGCGUGUUCAACUGCGGUUCAGGUGGCCGCGGCGCGCUCUGCUCGCGUCCCACCGUGCGCGCUCUUCUCUCGCGUUCCUCCGGGUGUUCUGCCCUCGUCCCUCCACAUGCGCUGCCAGUGUUUUGGGCCGGCGCACGAUCACACACGUUCGUGUGCAAGCAGUUGCGCCAGGCAUGGUGCAACGAUGCAGUUACCCGCUGCAAAAACUGCCAUGCAGACGCGCCGAGAAUCCAUGCCACCCGGACCCCUUUUAUUCCUACGGCCAUUUACCUUCAUCUCUUGUCUCACAGACACAAUAAGCACACCCACGAGGACACAUACAGAGAGGACAUACAGCGGUUCCAAUGGCGCUCCCUGUGGCUACAAUGGCGCUCCCAGCGGCCGCCGACGACACCGACGGGCAGUUCACCACGCAUCAUGUAGUGGACACCCAUGUGAGGGGGAAGGCCCUCUCGGUGGUGUAAACGAAUGAUCCGGUCUCGGUGGAGAGCUCCAUCUAAACUAUGGAGUUGUUCCUUGCCGAGGACAAGCACUGAGUGGUUGGCUUCGACCUCGAGUACACCAUGGGUCGUGCCGGGCAUGAUCAGAAGGUUGCUGUCGCCCAGUUGUGCGUGCGACAUGACGUCCUCGUCUACCACUUCCACCUUGCCACAAGGCCUUGCGAGCAUUUCUCCAGGUUUAUCAAGAGCUCCGACUACCAUUUCGCUACGGUGGACACCACCAACGAUUUAAAAGUGCUCAAGGUUUCGGACUUGAAAUGCCCGAAUCUUGUCAACAUCCAGCACCACUACAAGGUCUGGGGCAGCGACAAAAGCAAAUUGAACUCCCUGGUUGACCUCUCCUCGGCCAUCAUCGACCCCUACUAUGCGAAGAUGAAGCAAAAGAGCAAUAAGGACAAGAACGCCUAGCAUAGUGUGUGGCAUAAGAGACUGGAUGAACAACAUGUCAAGUACGUGACCAUGGACGCGUACACAAGCUACGAGAUGUACAGGCGGAUCGUUGACAUGAGGAACUGUCUUCUUCCUGACCCAGACGAGGGAUCAAGCCACAUAGCAGUGGCAGGAGUGUCACAAGAAGUAGAUGACUAGACGAUUGUUUCUCCUACUUUAGAAUUCAUGCAAUUGUUUAUUGAGGUGUGUGCGAAUGAUCGGUAUAGUCACUUAUGUAAUUUGAUGUUUAUUUCAGUUAUAUAUAUACAUGUUAUUCUACUAUAGACAGAGCAAUCCACACGGCUUAUUAGCAGCAAUCGUCUGUGUUAUUAUUGGUCUUCGCACACAUUUCAGAGUAUGGACCUGUUUGCUACGUAUCACACACAUCUUGUUCAGUUGAACCAUUUCCAUUGUGUGGCCUAAUCACACACAGUUCAUCCCAGUGAACCGUAUGCUGUAUAUCGCACACAUCUUCAUCCGGCUGCCCGUUUCUUUUGUGCUUCCUCAUCCUAAACAGUUAAUUGAGCUGAACCAUAUGCCCCGCAUCGCACACACAACUAAAUUCUGAACCAUGUUUGAUGCAUCUGUCAUCGCAAACGUUUUUCACCUUUUUGAUGGUUUUUACACCGCCGUUUGCGAUUAUGGCAUUGCACACAGUUUUGUCGAAGGGUCUCUGAUCGUAGUGUCGCGUUUGGACCAUCCUAUAGUAGUGACUGGUACAUACCCUUAGCCUCGAGGGUGAACUACUCCCUCCUCGCCAUGGAGACCACCGGGAUGGUGAAGAUGGCCACCUAUAAUGAUUCCCCCCUCCAGCAGGAUGCCGGAACGGGCUCCCGAUUGGUUUUUCGUGGCUAUAGAGGCUUGCGGCGGUGGAACUCCAGAUCUAGGUUUCUUUCUGGGGGUUUCUAUAUUUAUAGGAAUUUUUGGCAUCGGUUUCAUGUCAGGGGGUCCACGGGGCAGCGACAAGGUAGGGGACGCGCCCUAGGUGGGGGCGCCCUCCACCCUUGUGGCUGCCUCGGGACUCCUUUGGUCCAUCUCCGAUGCCCCGUGGGUCUCUUCUGGUCCAUAAAAAAUCACCAUAAAUUUUCAGCUUGUUUGGACUCUGUUUGAUAUUCCUUUUCUGUAAAACUCCGUUUGAUAUUCGUUUGGGCUCUAGGUUAAUAGGUUAGUCCCAAAAAAUAUAAAAUAUCAUAUUAAUGCAUAUAAAACAUCCAAAACAGAUAAUAUAAUAGCAUGGAACAAUAAAAAAUUAUCGAUACGUUGGAGACAUAUCACGUGUUAGCACCUUGAAUGGUCCAUUGGCUCGAGGUAGGAGCUUGGACCCGUGCUCGUUGGGGAAACGGUCUCUGCGUAGGUGCAUCCACACAAGAUCUCCGGGGUGUGGAAUACCAUGGGGUGUUUAUUCAUGUUGCAUUUGGUAGUGAGGUGGUGCACAUGGUUCUCGAUCGUGCAUUGUGUAUCGCCAUGCACUUUCUUGAGAUAACUUGCUCUUGCGCUCGCAUCCAUAUUGGUUCACUCUUAUGGAAAUAUCGAUAGAAUGUCUAAUGGGGACAACGGGUUGAAGCCAUAGACAACCUCGAAGGGGGACUUUCCGGUGGUGGAGUGUCGUGCUUGAUUGUAGGCUGCUACUUAUGAGCUGCGUUGAGAUUUACCCCGAAGAUGAGAGGAGAUGCAGCACAGUAGAGAUAAGUAUUUCACUUAGUGAGAACCAAGGUAUCAAUCCAGUAGGAGAAUCACACAAAGCCCCGUGAACAACACCUGCACACAAAAGCAAAUACUUGCAUCCAACGCAGGCAAGAGGGUUGCCAAUCCCCUUGAACUCGUUACUUGCAAGGAUUAAAUCUCGUAGUGGUAGAUAGCUAAAUUGCAAAAUAAAAUAAAAAUAAUAAAAUAGCAAUAAGGACAUUUGUUUUUUAUAUAUGACAAAAGUAGACCCGGGAGCCAUACUUAUCACUAGAGGCUUCUCUCUCGAACACAUAACAUACGAUGGGUGAACAAAUUACCGCUGGGCAAUUGAUAGAAAAUCGCAUAGUUAUGACGAUAUUCAAGGCAAUGAUUAUGUAUAUAUAGGUAUCACGUCCGAGACAAGUAGACUAUCUCCUCCUGCAUCUACUACUAUUACUCCACCCAUCGACCGCUAUCCAGCAUGCAUCUAGGGUAUUAAGUUAAUAAAAAUAGAGUAACACUUAAGCAAGCUGACAUGAUGUAGACAAAGUAAACUCAAUUAAUAUGAAUAAACCCCAUCAUUUUACCCUUAAUGGCAAUAAUAAAAUAUGUGUCUUGUUCCUUUCUAUCAUUGGGAUAGAGCACUUUAAGAUUGAACCCAUCACAAAGCACCUCUCCCACUGAAGAUAAAUCAAUCUAGUUGGCCAAAUCAAACAACUAGAUCAGAGAGAAAUACAAAGCUAUAACAAUCACGCAUAAUAAAGUUCAGAAAUGACUCAAUUACUUCAUAUGAAUUAUAACAACCCCAGCAAUGCUACAGUGAUCCUUAUCAUUAUGCCGAGUCACUUUGUUUAGCAUGCUUGAUCAUAUUUGGAUUCAUACCUCAAUUGAAAUUCCACCUUGAAUCAAAAUUCAAACUUGCAAGUGAAAAUAAAAGUUGAAGAAACAGGCAAGAUAAAUAGUUCAUAAUUUUGUAAAUAAUCCAUAUGUAAUUAGGUUAAGGAAAACAUCAUCACCAAAAAUCACUAGGUGAUUAUUGCAUCAAGAAAACAGGUCGAGCAGCACCUAUCCAUCCCAUUGAAAUUCAAAACAAAUAUUAAAUGAAUUCAAAUAGACCCCAAGCUUGUUGUGCCACCCCAAGUUAUUGUGUUAGAAUUAUGUGCCAAGUUUCAUUCAAAGCAAAAAUCAUUUGGUGGCCCAACUUAAUUCAAAAUAGUAGCAGGAAAAGAAAACAAAACAAAAUUAAAAUAAAAGGCCUAAAAACUACUGCACAUUUGGGCUUAAGUGUGCACAGUGAACAUCCAGCCAGCCCACCUCCACCUCUCCUUCAACCUCACGCUAUAGUGGGAGCAUGGGGUGGAACGCAUCCAUGGCCAUGGUAGAGCCUUGGCUUGUGUGGCGGCCAUCCGCCCUGAACCCCCUACAAAAUGUCCCGGUGCUCCUCCCCCGAACCCUAGCCCUGUUGAGGGAUUCCAGGAUUAUGGGGUCCUUGGGCGUCUGGGCUAUGUGAUAUGGGCCGGACUAAUGGGUCGUGGAAAUACAAGACGGAAGAAUUUCCCCCGUGUCCGGAUGGGGCUCUCCUUGGCGUGGAAGGCAAGCUUAGCGUGCAGAUAUGAAGAUUCCUUUCUUUGUAAACUGACUCUGUACAAUCCCUAGUCCCCUCCGGUGUUUAUAUAAACUGGAGGGUUUUAGUCCGUAGGGGCAAUCACAAUCAUAAUCAUACAAGCUAGAAAAUUAGGGUUUAGCCAUUACGAUCUCAUGGUAGAUCAACUCUUGUAACCCCUAUAUUCAUCAAAGUCAAUCAAGCAGGACGUAGGGUAUUACCUCCAUCAAAGAGGGCCCGAACCUGGGUAAACAUCAUGUCCCUUGUCUCCUAUUACCAUUGAUCCUUAUACGCACAGUUCGGGACCCCCUACCUGAGAUCUGCUAGUUUUGACACCGACAUUGGUGCUUUCAUUGAGAGUUCCACUAUGCUGUCGUCGAAAGGCUCGAUGGCUCCAUCAAUCAUCUACAACAACGCUACCGCGGAGGAGACUUUCCUCCUUGGCCAGAUCUUUGUAUUUGGCGGCUUCACACUGCGGGCUAACUCGGUUGGCCAUCUGGAGCAGAUCGACAACUACGCCCCCGGUCACCAGAUCAGUUUUGGAAAUCUAAACUAUGUCGCUGAUAUCCGAGGAGACUUGAUAUUCCAAGGGUUCGUGGCCUUAACCACCGCUCCGACCUUAGAUCCGGAGCACAUCAUCAGUUCCGAAGACAAGAGUCUAGAGCCCACCAGACUCUCUGCAACCUUAGAGCUCAACACCGAGAGAAUAGCGUCUCCGGCAAUCAUUGCAAGGCCGAACUCUUCUCCGGAUACUACUUCUGUACCCUGGAAGCCCGCGUCAUGCGAGCUCGGCCCAGAAACUUCCGACCUUGUCCAAACCCCGCUCUUAAACGAGGCUUUGGACCUAAUGCGAUGCCUCGUCAUCAUAGAGGAACCGCUUCUAAAUCACGCCCAGCCCGGACUAGGGGCUGGAAAUAGGGAAUUUUACUUCGCACCCACCACCCACUUCAUAGCGACUGUCGAGGACCUAACCGACAUGCUUGAUUACGCCUCCGAAGACAUCGACGGUAUGGAUGAUGAUGCCGGAGAGGAGUAGGCCCAAAACCCGCCGGUCACCGGAUGUUGGACGGCCACCUCCUCGUAUGACGUAUACAUGGUGGAUACACCUAAAAACGGCAACGACGAUGAUGAGAAAAACCCAGCCGAGGACGAACCUCCUGAGAUACCGCCGAAACAUCGACGUCAGCGACGCCGCUCUAAAUCGCGUCAUGGCAAGAACAAAAAUACCGACACCGAAGACAAUGAUACUCCAGAGAACGCCGAAGACCAAGAAGACCCCAUCGAACCAACAUCCGAACAGGAUGAUCGGGAGGACGGACAAGUUGACCCUAACGAACAAAUAGGGAACAACGACUCGGAGGACAACAACUAUCUGCCACUCAACGAAGACGAUGCAAUCCUCGGCGGUGAAGAUUUUAUCGUGCUAGAGGAACCCCUCGAACAAGAGCGCUUCAAGCGCUGGCUAAUAGCCACGGCUAGAAGCCUAAAAAAGAAAUAACAGAAGAUUCAAGCUGACCAAGACCUGCUCAACGAUAGAUGGGUAAUGUCCCGGCAGCCGAAGAAUACGGCCUCGAGCAACCAAAAAAGAGUUACCCGAAGCACAAGCUGCUACCCCAAUUCGACGAUGAGGCAUUCGAGCCCAUACCACCCAAGCGUAAUGCGGUUGACGGACCCGAUAGACCACCACGUGGCCGGGACAGAAUGACAACUCAAGCCAAACACCAGCCCGCACAACCUCGCCGAAAAAGCAGAGAAACAACAGGUCGGGGAUACACAUACGACCUACGACAGGACCUAGAAAAUAAAGCAGGUUAGACCAGGUCAAUCUACGGAUCGCGGGGGCAUGCUCUGGCGCGAGAGGAGGGCUAUCGAGCCUGGUGCGAUAAGAAUAACCAACCCCGGGCUGAAAACCGCAUACAGACUCCAUCCGAACUGCGUCGUGACAUGGCCCAAUACAGAGGCGCCGCACACCCCCUAUGCUUCACCGAUGAGGUAAUGGAGCACGAGUUCCCUGAAGGGUUUAAACCCGUGAACAUCGAAUCAUACGACGGCACAACAGAUCCCGCAGUAUGGAUUGAAGAUUUUCUACUCCACAUUCACAUGGCUCGCGGUGAUGAUCUACACGCCAUCAAAUACCUUCUGUAAAAGCUUAAGGGGCCAGCUAGGCACUGGUUAAACAGCCUCCAAGGCACUUAUGUCCGGCCUCCGGAUGCCGAUGACCUCAGUCAUAUAGUCCAACAUCACGGAGAGUCGGCCAGGAAAUUCUGGACCAGGUUCCUAUUAAAAAGAACCAGAUUGUCGACUAUCCGGACGCCGAAGCCCAGCGGCCUUCAAACACAGCAUCCGCGACGAAUGGCUCGCCCGACACCUCGGCCAAGAAAAGCCGAAGUCCAUGGCAGCCCUUACAACACUAAUUUUUUUCUGUCAUACAUAUGACACUUCUAUGACGAUAAUUGUGACAAAACCCGGUAUGAUCAUAGAUGUGGUGGGCUCCUACUUCUAUGACAAAAAAUCAUGACAAAAAAUGGGCUUUUCAUCCUGGGUGGGCCGGAGAUGCAGCUGCAUGACAUUCUUUGGGACGUCCAUGACGGAAAAAACUAUGGUAGAAGCGAGGGGGAGGAAAAUUUCGGGGAGUUCCCGGUUACGGUGGGAGGUCGGGGGCCGAGCGAUGCGCGUUUCUCUCGUACACGUACGCGCGUGUGUGCGAGGCGUUGUCUCUAACUGAACCAGAGCGAGGCAUUGGGCUCUAACUGAAUCUGAGCGAUUGCACUGCAGGCUACGCGUUACUGAACCUGAGCGAUCGAUCGAUGGCUAUUAACUGAAGCCGAUCGAGCGAUUCCUUCGCUACUGCUGCUAACUGAAGCUGAUCGAUGGGAUGAAUNNNNNNNNNNNNNNNNNNNNNNNNNNNNNNNNNNNNNNNNNNNNNNNNNNNNNNNNNNNNNNNNNNNNNNNNNNNNNNNNNNNNNNNNNNNNNNNNNNNNNNNNNNNNNNNNNNNNNNNNNNNNNNNNNNNNNNNNNNNNNNNNNNNNNNNNNNNNNNNNNNNNNNNNNNNNNNNNNNNNNNNNNNNNNNNNNNNNNNNNNAGUGAGCGGUGGUGUCGCCUCUGGAUGAAUAGGACCUCGUGGUGUGGUGGAGGGCUGGAUGAACAGUAGACGAUGGAGGGGUGCCCGUGGAGGGGUGGUUGAACAGGACUGUAACACCCCGGAUAUGAUUUACCUAAUAUGUAAUCCAACUCUUGCCGUUUCCGGCGUUAAGUUAUUUUAUUUUCUCGGGUUCGGGUUUUUGUCUCCGUGUGGUGUUGUUGUCAUGCAUCUCAUAUCAUGUCAUCAUGUGCAUUGCAUUUGCAUACGUGUUCGUCUCAUGCAUUCGAGCAUUUUCCCCGUUGUCCGUUUUGCAUUCCGGCGCUCCAUCCUCCUCCGGUGGUCAUUUCUACCUUUCUUUCGUGUGUGGGGAUUAAACAUUUCCGGAUUGGACCGAGACUUGCCAAGCGGCCUUGGUUUACUACCGGUAGACCGCCUGUCAAGUUUCGUACCAUUUGGACUUCGUUUGAUGCUCCAACGGUUAACCGAGGGAGCGAGAAGGCCUUGUGUGUGUUGCAGCCCAACACCCCUUAAUCUUGGCCCAAAACCCUCUCCAUCAUCUAGAGCGUUCGAUCACGAUCGCGUGGCCGAAAACCGCACCUCAUUUGGACACUCCUAGCUCCCUCUACCUCUAUAUAUAGACCCCCUCCUCAAAAUUCUGGAUCCCCUCCUUCAAACCCUAAAAAAAUCUCCUCGCGCCGCCGCUGGACACGUCCGUCCCAGGCGGACGGAAUCGCGCCGCUGCCCCGCACCAGUGGCAGGCCGCCAUGUGGCCCCGCCGCGCCGCCUCCCACCGCCGGCCCGCGAGGCCCGGGGCCGGCCCUCUCCUCCGCCCGACCGGGCCCCGAGGCCCCCGCGCCGCGCCGCUUCCUCCCCGGCUCCGGCCGCCGCUCCGCCGUUCACCGGCGCUGCUCCACCUCGCCGGCGCGAGGUCCGGCCAGAGGUCCUCGCCGGUGCCCCGCGGCGGCCGAACCCCGCCAUCGCCGGCCAUCGCCAUCGCCACCGCCGCCUCGGUCUUCUUCCCCUUCCUCGCCGGCUCCCUCCCCUCCUUCCGGCGACCUCGACAAGUCCGGCCACUGCGGUGCCAUUCCCGGUGAACUUCAAAGUCCGUGCAAGCUACAGUGGAUCUGGAUCUGAGAUUUGUCUCGGUUGACUUUUUGCCCGAAACCCUAAUUAGUUUGCUAUGUUCGUCGUGCCGUAACUUUGCAUCCGUAGCUCCGUUUUGGGCAUAUAGCAUAUCAAAAUGUUUGCCUCAGAGAGCACAUCAUUUCAUCUCAGUGAAUCAUUUUCAUUUGAGUUCAUCUUGAUGCCCGAAAUGCUGUUGGAAGAAUGCUAUUUGAGAUAAUUGUCAGAUCUGCUGCUCCAAUUAGAUAUUUGUCAUUUUUGCCAUGAUUAUUGUGUGCAUGAUAUGCCCAGGAGCUCUACAUAUGUUUUGUUAUAUGCUUUAUCAUCUUUCCUGUGGUGCCAUCCAUGUAUUUGUGUGAUGUGUGUGGUGACUAGCACAAGCUUGCAAAGUGGAGCAUUUGUUAAUGCUGAUUUCAGGGACUUAGCAAUUCCACUAAGUCCUUGAUCUGUUUAUUUCAAUAUGCCAUAUGUUCAUGUUGUUUCCUAGUGAUCCAUGCCUCUUUUGAGGAUGAGCAGUAAGGAUGUUUUGUUAAUCUUGUAGUGCUCUAUCCAUCCAUGUCUUUGUUUGCAAUUAUGGAGCACCAUAGCUUGAGUCAAUCGAGCUCUACUUUUGUCAUUUUGUGAAUCUGAGCAGAUUGUCUACUUGUUAGCGAUUUUGCCGAUGAUGUUGUAGUUGAUCCGUGCAUGCUAUGUUAUUGUUCUUGCCAUGACUAGGUUGUAUAAUGUGUAUUCUUGAUAGGUGCAUGCUUAGAUUGUCAUGACUUGCUCUGCAGUGAGUGCAUCGAGCUCGUAAAAAUGCCUACUUGAUAUCUGUUUUGCAUGCUCCAGUUUUUCACUAAAUCUGUGAUCUGAUUAUGUUUUUGCCAUGUUCACAUGCUUGUAAUUGUAUUUUCUGGUCCCUUUUGACUCAAGGUCACUAAGGGACUUUUGUUAAGCUCUUUGAGUAGCUCCAUGCCAUGCUUUACUUUGCCACAUUCAGUCCCUGUAGCAUAUAGUUUUCAUGCUCCAAAGUGUGCUACCUGAUCUGAAAUUCCAGACAAGUGUUAAUUUCACUAAGUCUGAGAUCUGUUUACCAAUUGCAUUUUUUCCAUGCUUGUUUGAACCUAUUAAUGGAUGAAUUGGCCGUAGCUCAGUGUUCCUAUUUUGUUAAGGAUCAUGAAUGGAUCCCUGCCAUGUAUUUUGUUGCCAUGUUUGGGUGCUGUAGCAUGCUCAUCUUGUUGCAUUUAGAUGGUCACUUGCUGUAUAUCGCAGACCGGUGCCAUAUUUGUUUUGCUUGCCAUUUCCAAAUCGUGUCUCCGAUUCUGGCGUUCUUUAUAUCGUUUUCAAGCGAUUUCAUCUCACCUUUCCAGUGGCACACUUGGAUUUCCAAGUUGAGGCCAGGGCAUUCAUAUCUUGUCAAAUCUUGCAUAUGCAUCACAUAUCGCAUCCCGCAUAGCAUACCAUGUUUGCAUCAUGUUGUUUGAGUUGUGCACGUGGUUGAUUGCGUUCCUUUUGCUUGUUUGUCUUGUUUGGGUAGAGCCGGGAGAUGAGUUCGCUAACGAGGAGCCCGUUGAGUUUGCUUUUGAGGAUCCAGUCAACUCUGACAACGUUGCAGGCAAGAUGAUCAUACCCUCGAAAUCACUUCUAUCUUUGCUUUGCUAGAUGCUCGCUCUUUUGCUAUGCCUAUGCUACGAUGCCUACCACUUGCUUAUCAUGCCUCCCAAAUUGCCAUGUCAAACCUCUAACCCACCAUGUCCUAGCAAACCGUUGGUUGGCUAUGUUACCGCUUUGCUCAGCCCCUCUUAUAGCGUUGCUAGUUGCAGGUGAAGAUUGGAGAUCGUUCCUUGUUGGAACAUUAUUUACUUGUUGGGAUACCAUUAUAUUUAUCUUGUUAUCUUAAUGCAUCUAUGUACUUGGAGAAGGGUGGAAGGCUCGACCUCUCACCUAGUGUUUUGUUCCACUCUUGCCGCCCUAGUUUCCGUCAUAUCGGUGUUAUGUUCCCAGAUUUUGCGUUCCUUACGCGGUUGGGUGAUAAUGGGAACCCCUUGAUAGUUCGCCUUGUUUAAAGCUUUUCCAACAAUGCCCAACCUUGGUUUUACCAUUUGCCACCUAGACUCUUUUUCCCUUGGGUUUCUGGAGCCCGAGGGUCAUCUUAUUUUAAACCCCCCCGGGCCAGUGCUCCUCUGAGUGUUGGUCCACCUGUCAGCUGUCGGUGGCCACCAGGGGCAACUCUGGGCUGGCCUACCCGUACCUAGGACAAUAUGAGUGUGCCCUGAGAACGAGAUAUGUGCAGCUCCUAUCGGGAUUUGUCGGCACAUUCGGGCGGUGUUGCUGGAUUUGUUUUAACUUGUCGAAGUGUCUUGUAGAACCGGGAUGCCGAGUCUGAUCGGAAUGUCUCGGGAGGAGGUCUAUUCCUUCGUUGACCAUGAGAGCUUGUCAUGGGCUAAGUUGGGACCCCCUGCAGGGAUUGAACUUUCGAAAGCCGUGCCCACAGUUAUGGGCAGAUGAGAAUUUGUUAAUGUCCGGUUGUAGAUAACUUGAACCUUAACUUAAUUAAAAUGAAUCAACUGUGUGAGUUACCGUGAUGGUCUCUUCUCGGCGGAGUCCGAGAAGUGAACACGGUGUUGGAGUAAUGCUUGCCGCAGGUUGUUCCCUAGUUAUUCGUUCGUGCUUUGCCUUCUCUCCUCGCUCUCUUUUGCGAACAGGUUAGACACCAUACAUGCUAGUCGCAUGCCGCAGCUCCACAUAUUUUACCUUGCCUUUCCUAUAAGCUUAAAUAGUCUUGAUCGCGAGGGUGUGAGAUUGCUGAGUUCCUGUGGCUCACAGUUUACUUCCAAACUAGAUGCAGAGCCAGACGACUCCGUUCAGGAUGACGCGUUAGAGCUCACGUGGGAGUUCGACGAGGACUCACGCCGUUACUAUGUAUCUUUCCCUGAUGAUCAGUAGUGGUGCCCAGUUGGGGUGAUCGGGACCAUGUCGCUUGUUGGGUUUAUCUUUUAUUUUGGCACCGUAGUCGGGACAUGAGUGAUUGGAUGAUGUAAUGCUAUUUAUGUACUUUGUGUGACGUGGCGAGUGUAAGCCAACUAUGUUACUUUUCCCCUUAUUAUGUAUUACAUUGGAUGUUGUGAUGAUUGCCUAACUUGCGACAUUGCUUUCAAUGCGGUUAUGCCUCUAAGUCGUGCCUCGACACGUAGGAGAUAUAGCCGCAUCGAGGGUGUUACAAGGACCCCGUGGUGUGGAGGGCUGGAUGAACAGUAGAUGGUGGAGGGGUGGUUGAACAGUAGCCGGUGGAGUAGCGCGCGGUGGAGGCUGGAUGAACAGGAGCCCGUGGAGGCUGGAGGAGGUCGACGGUAGCCCGUGGACGCUGGAGGAGGUCGACGGUGGAGAUGAGUAGUAUCCCGUGGAGUCCCGUUUUGUGGUACGCCACACCCCUCCCGAUGAACAUGACCCCCGUUUCGACCGUAGCGCUCCAACACAAGUCUGUUUCAUCCGUUUUGCGGUAUGCCACACCCCUCCCAAUCAACAAGACCCCUGUUUUGACCGUAGGAGGACGGUUUCCUCCGUUUUGCGGUACGCCAGACCCCUCCCAAUGGACAAGAUCCUGUUUUGAACAUGGCCGGUCGAACACAAGGCCGUUUCCUCCGUUCUGCGGUACGCUAGGUCUUGUUUCCAUCGCCUGUUCCGUCCAAGCCCUCCCGAUGAGCACGACGCAUUCCGUUGCCUCCCCAUGAACACGACGCAUUCCGUUGCCUCCCCAUGAACACGACGCAUUCCGUUGCCUCCCCAUGAACACGACGACGACGCUGUUUCUCCGUUCCGACCCAGCCAUGUACAUGAGCCCUGGCCGUAUGUAUGCGUGAGUAGGCGUUCGAGACCCCGCCCGUAUGUACACAUACGUGGCCGUAUUUUCUUUCUUGCACCCUGGACGCUGUACGUACGUGUACAUGCUACAUGCGCGCCUCUACUACAACACGUGCGCGCCUCUACAUCGACCCGUAUAUAUGUACGUACACGUUCGCGACCAGAAUGACAACGCUACGUACGCUUCGACUAGGUGGGUCCCGACUGUCAGGCACUUCCUUGCGUGCGAAGAUGUAGCUGGUGGGUCCCAGCAGUCAUAGGGGCGAAAUACGGUGGCCCGUCCGGUGGGUCCCCGCUAUCAGGUGGAGGAAUAAUUAUUUUGCACGUAAUAAGGAGGCACUUCCUUGCUGCGGCCGUGGACCCAGCUGUCAGCCUCUCCACGUACAGUCCACGUCCGAUGGAAGCCGUUCCUUGACCGCGUUGACCACACCAUGCUGAGAGCACCAGGGCGGUGGACGACGGCGAGGCCUAGGAAGGGGACAACGCGGAGCCGGGGAAGACGCGGCAGUGGAUGCCCACGCAUAGAGGAGUACGAGGGUUCACUGGUUCGCUACGGUGUGAGGCUGCCGUCGUCACAGAAUAACAGGGGGUGUGGGUGAGUAGAGGUAUAGCAUGGGCCAGCGGUGGGAGUAGUAGGGGGCGGUGAGGCCUCCGCGGCAUCACAUCCGGCCACGAGAGGCAGGAGCACGCGGCACGACUGGUGCAGCUUUGGGCGGCUGGAGCAAGAAGACCAGAGGUUGAAGAAGCACUACGGCCGUUGGAUGGACAUCAUACAGUCACUGGAGCUAGAAUCGUGCAUAUUGACUAAGUUGACAAAGCCCUCCGUCCCCGUCAACUUAGUAGGCCCACAAGCCAGCCUCCCACCAAGGUGGGUCCCAGCUAGCAGGGGGUAUUCAUUUUUUUGAGCAUAAUAAGGAGGCACUUCCUUGCGUGCGAAGAUAUAGCUGGUGGGUCCGAGCUGUCAGCGGCGGUAACAUUUUUUUCGUGAAAUACAGAGGCCCUUUCGGUGGUUCCCUGAUGUUAGGUGGAGGAAUCAUUAUUUUGCGCAUAAUAAGGAGGCAUUUCCUUGCGUGCGGCCGUGGACCCAGCCGUCGGCCUCUCCACGUACAUUCCACUUCAGAUGCAUGUCGGUCGUUGACCACGUUGACCAGGCCGCGCCGAGAGCACCAGGGCGGUGGACGACGGUGAGGCCUAGGAAGGGAACGACACGGAGGCAGGGAAGACUCGACAGUUGUUUCCCACGCGGAGGGGAGUACGACUGUACAAGGGUUUACUGGUUCGUCUGCCGUCCUGAGAGAAUAACAGCAGGUGUGGGUGAGUAGAGGGAUGGCUAGGCCAGUGAUGGGAGUACGAUGGGGCGGUGAGGCCUGCGCAGCAGCACAACCGACCGCGGGGAGGAGGGAGCAGGCAGUCCCGCCGGCGCUUGUUUGAGCGGCUGGAGCAGGAAGAGCAGAGAUUGAAGAAGCACGACGGCCAUUCGAUGGACAUCCAACAGUCACUGCUUGUGCGUCAACCUUUUUUAGGAAAGCCUCAAAUAUGUGGAAAACAGCAUACAACCCAUCUGCCAUUAUUUCUAAUAAUUUACAGCGCAUUUGCUAAUUCUUAAGGUUUUUUUGGAGCCCAUAUUGUUUUUGUUAGCAUUACUGCCCAUAUUGUGGCCGCGGUUAAAAAUUAACGAAAUUUUGCAUAUUUCGGUGCGGUCCGAACUGUAUUUAAUCCCGAAAUUUCAACUCACAUUCAAACUGAUUUUAAAAAUAAAUGUAUAUCAAUAUAAAAUCCAACAAAUUCCCCACGCAUAAAAAUUAAUGUAAUUUAAAAUCACGAAAUGAAAAAAAGAUAUUUUAAACUAAUUGCCAGUUUGAUGUGUUUAAAAAAUGUAUAGCCCAUUUCUCAUUACUGAUGGGCCAUUUUCUCGGCCAGCCGAAUGAAGCUCUCCUCGUCUUGAAUGAAUUGCAGCCCAACAGGCCUGACAAAUCGACUUACUUGGCAAAUCACAAAAAAACUGGGCUGUGGCCAUGGACCCAGCUGUCAGCCUCUCCAUGUACAGUACUCUUCUGAUGGAAGUCGGUCGUUGACCACAUUGACCACGCCGCACCGAGAGCACCAAGGCGGUGGACGACGGCGAGGCCUAGGAAGGGGACGACGCGGAACCGGGGAAGACGCGGCAGUGGAUGCCCACGUGGAGAGGAGUACGAGGGUUCAAUGGUUCGGCUGCGGUGUGAGGCUGCCAUCGCCGCAGAAUAACAGGGGGUGUGGGUGAGUAGAGGGAUAGCAUGGGCUAGCGGUGGGAGUAGUAGGGGGCGGUGAGGCCUCCGCGGCAUCACAUCCGGCCACGAGAGGCAGGAGCACGCGACACGACCGGCAGCUUUGGGUGGCUGGAGCAAGAAGACCAGAGGUUGAAGAAGCACUACGGCCGUUGGAUGGACAUCCUACGGUCACUAGAGCUAGAAUCGUUCAUAUUGACUAAGUUAACAAAGCCCUCCAUCCUCGUCAACUUAGUAGGCCCACAAGUCAGCCUCCCACCAGGUUGGGUCCCAGCUAGCAGGGGGAGUAUUCAUUUUUCUGUGCGUAAUAAGGAGGCACUUCCGGUGGGUCCGAGCUGACAGCGGGCGGGAACGUUUUUUUCGCGAAAUACGGUGGUCCGUCCGGUGGGUCCCAGCAGUCAGGGGUAAACAUUUUUUCCGCGAAAUACGGUGGCCCAUCUAGUGGGUCCCAGCAGUCAGGGGGGAAACGUUUUUUCCGCGAAAUACUGGUGGCCCAUCCGGUGGGUCCCUGCUGUCAGGUGGAGGAAUAUUUAUUUUGCGCGUAAUAAGGAGGCACUUCCUUGCGGCUGCCGUGGACCCAGCUGCCAGCCUCUCCACGUACAGUACUCUUUCGGUGGAAGUCGGUCGUUGACCACAUUGACCACGCCGCGCCGAGAGCACCAUGGUGGUGGACGAUGGCGAGGCCUAGGAAGGGGACGACGCGGAGCCAGGGAAGAUGCGGCAGUGGAUGCCGACGCGGAGAGGAGUACGAGGGUUCACUGGUUCGACUGCGGUGUGAGGCUGCCGUCGCUGCAGAAUAACAGGGGGAGUGGGUGAGUGGAGGGAUGGCCUGGCCAGUGGUGGGAGUAGUAUGGGGACGGUGAGGCCUCCGCGACAGCACAGCCGGCCACGGGAGGUAGGAGCAUGCGGCACGACCGGCGCUGCUUUGGGCGGCUGGGGCAAGAAGACCAGAGGUUGAAGAAGCACUACGGCCGUUGGAUGGACAUCGUUGACCAUGCCGCGCCGAGAGAAUCAGUGCGGUGGACGACGGCGAGGCCUACGAAGGGAACGACACGGAGCCGGGGAAGACACGACAGUGGCUGCCCACACGGUGGAGAGUACGAGGGUUGACUGGUUCGGCUGCCGUCACUGGAAAAUAACAGGAGGUGUGGGUGAGUAGAGGGAUAGACAGGCCAGGGAUGCGAGUAUGAUGGGGCCGUGAGGCCUUCCCGGCAGCACUGCCGGCCACGGGAGGCGGGAGCAGGCGGUUCCGACGGCGCUGGUUUGGGCGGCUGGGGCAGGAAGAUCAGAGACUGAAGAAGCACGAUUGCCGUUAGAUUGACAUCUAACGGUCUGAUGCUGGUAGAGUCGAUUGUUGACUAAGUUUAUUUUUUUGAGAAACCUUGUGUACGCAUGAACUUAGUAGGCCCACAAGUCAGCCUCCAAAUCUGUGGCAGACAACAUAAAGCCCAUUUGCUAUUUUUUAUAAUUUGCAGCCCAUUUGCUAAUUCUUAAGUAAUUUAUUACAGCCCAUUUUCUGCCUAGGACCACGGUCAAAAAGUCCAACCUUAUUUUGCAUAUUUCGGUGGAGUCCGAACUGUCAUAAUCCAGAAAUGAUAAACAUUUUUUUAAGAAUUAUUGAUUUGCCAAAAAAUCGUUUUGUUUUUGUAAGCAAAUAAGACGUGGGACAAUUUAGUUGGUUUAAGGGAAAACCAGUGGUAAAAAAACCAGCGCUGGGUGGGAAAAAACAACAAAAAUAAGGAUGUAAAUAUGAAAAGGGAAUUUUAUGUGUUUUCAAUAUAAUGAUACAUGUAUAUGAACUAGUAAAACUAUAGGUAGAGAUUAGAAAACGGAUGUAGGACAUGCGUUUCAAGAGGAAAAUAGAACUGGGCUAUGUGUUUCAUUCAGUAAAAAAACUGCCCGCGGAUGUUGUAAGACAAAAUAUAACUAAUGCUGGCGGGCCAGAGGCCAGUAGAUACCUGCUGGAUCUUUGUGCCCCGUUGUUGUCAUGGGCUGGGCCUGUUAAAAACAAAACAACCCUGGGCAAUCUACAUCCCAGUUGAAACUUGCUCGACCUGAAAAAACAAUAUACGUUCUCAAUAAACGAGAGAAUUCUGCAAGUACAGACUGAUAACUGGGAUGCAACACAGAUAUUGUUUUUUUAUCAUGAUAAUAAGUGCAUGCACUUGUUUCGAAAAAAAUGGAGAACUGGGAAUUCGAACGGCGGGUGCUUAUGCUACCCAUCAAAUAAAAAUUAGGUGCCUGAAAAUUCGUUUUAAAACAAAUGAUUCAGCUUUAUAUCCACGUCGACCCUCGGCAUGAUGGUUGGAAGCAAAUGCAAGUUCAUACCAAAAGAUCGUUAACAACAAUACCAACUUGCGGAUGACAAGGUAGUACAACUACCAAUACCAAACUAACUAACAAGUACGCACUUGAAGCCUAACUGAUAUAUAUAUAUAUGGCUUCUGUACAUCAUCUCCAUCAUCAUUAUCAGUACAUCCUCGCAGGUGAGUUAGGAUGCACUUGAUCCCAGGAAGGUAUCUAUCCUUCAAACCAGAGGAGUGCUUCAAACUAACAACAUUACAUAAUAUCCAACAAAAGAGGGUCGUGCUACAGCAGCAGAAUACAUGGCUUAGUCUAGAUAUCAGCACGAAUCAAGUUGUGCAUAUUUGCUGUUGACAUGAACCACAUCGCCGCAUGUCGGGUUUGCAAAAGCCAUCCAUCGCAUGGAAGCUUGAUGCCUUUCACACACUGAAGAUUAUCUGGCAACAAGCUGUGUCGACGAAUCUCUGGAUAUGGUGAUUCAUGAAACCCAUGGUAUGAUGUGUAAACACAGCCCCCCUCGCGAAUGGAAGUUGCAUAGCACAGUAAUCAUCGCCGGUGAUAUGAUCGAUGAUUGGUUGGAUGAUCGGAUAAUUGAGCCCGAGGAACAAGGAGUGGUUGCCAAGGCUAUAAACCCGCCUCCAGUUGAAUACGCCUGGCCCAACGGAGCUGGGAUCUUUCUCGAACACAAAGCAACCAUAGCCAUCAAUGUCACGAAUGCCCCACGCAUUGUACUGCAUGUGGUUUGAUGUAAUGGUUUGGUCAAUUUGGUACGUGCGAAUGAGCAUCAAAUGACCGCCGUCAGUUGAACGAGCGAUAAACCACCACCCAUCGGCUGGUAUGAUUCCAGGUCCUGGAAUCAUGAAGGCCAGCACAUUUGCGUCUGCUGCAACAAUUCAAAUUGGAGACCAAAAGGACAAAAAUAAACAAUCAUGUUCAGAGUAUGUGUGGAAUUAAGAUUAUUAUAACAGUGACACAUAUCAUAGACAGAGAAUUGCAAUGUCGUGGUCAUAAUCAUACACGAAGUUAAAAAAAGCCAAUGGCUUUCAUAUUCUAGCAACAUGUCAUGGUUCAAACAUCAUGUAACAAUGAGAGGAAAACAACUAUGACAUCGCCUACUCAUAUUCUACCAUAGCACUUACUACUACUGUUCUCAUAUCAACUCUAAGCAAUAACAUGCGUUGUUAUAAAAAUCUUGUAAACGAGAGUAACAUAUAGCAAUCAUGAUGUUAUGUUCAUAAUAUGUAUUCUAACAAUCAUUAGAUGCCAAUUGUUCUCAUAUCAACUCUAACAAUAACAUGUGUGGUCAUAAAAAUCUAGGAAAUGAGAGGAACAUAUAGCAAUGAUGUGGUUAUAGACAUGCUAUGCAUUCUAAAUUUGUAACAAAUGAACAUGCAGUCAUAUUCAUAAGGUAAAGAUGAGAUGAGAAAGAACAAUUACACGACAAUAGAUUCCACCAAUAUAGGUAGCCAAUCUGUGCAUCGACCGCGUAAACGAUGCCAUCGUGCACUAUAGCAUCAGACAGAAAUGUUUCCUCAGUAGGAUUGAUGAUGAGCCAUAACCAUGUAUGACGACCGGAUUCCAGAUAGACUAAUCCCUUGUUGAACAAGGCAAUGAGCUUGUAAUCCAUGUAGUCUUCUGAUGGUGUGGGAACUUCGCAGAUUACAACUUUCUACAAACAGAGGUCGAGCCAAAAGCUUGACGCGUCUCGUGCGUAGUAGGCAGGAGUGUCCGGCGGGCCGCGAGGCUCGAUGGCGGCGGUAUCCAACGAUGGAAGGGUGAUCUCUCGCUGGGUGUAGAUAUCCACGAGACGCCACGGACUACCGGUGUGGUGGAUGAGGACGAUGCAGUUGGCCUUCAUGCCCACCCAGUAGUGGCCGCGCAUGAAGGGCAGGUGGAUGGUUAGUGGUAGCAUGUCGAGGGGCACCACGACAACCUCCAUAGGAUCGUCAAGUCGGUGUCUGGGCCACCUGCGAGGAUCGGGCAUCAACAAGUAGGGUGUCCUGAAAAGAGCCGGCUGGUUGCAGACGAGUAGACGGUACAAAGACACCGAGCAUGCGGCCAGAUAGACGGUGCUGAGUAGGUCCAUACGACUACAGAUCUGCUCCAAGAGAACAUCGGGGAGGGAAUUCCAAUCACGGCUCUGCAUGUCAGUCGGUUCUUCCAUUGGGGUUUUCGGUGCCUGCGAGCCAGCGGGAAAGUGAAUUUGGGCGGGCGAGCGAAGAAGCUCCUCCUCGUGUGGCCGAGCAGUGAGCGGGGGGAUAUGGUACGCGCGAGCUACCAAGGAAGAUGGCGCGGGCGGGCGAGCAGUGAGCGGGGGUAAAUGGUGUGCGGCCGACGAUGGGGAAAAGAGGAGGAAGAAGAAGAGAGGAGGAAGAAGAAGAGACUAGUUGAAUAGUUCUCUCUGACUGAGAUGGGGAAUAAAUGGAUCGCGAGGACUUCCUUUCUACAGUAUCCCUAUGCCUCUACGCUCACUUCACUCAUUUUUCUCCGUACCUAGUCACUUGUUGAAAUCUGUAGAAAGACAAAUACUCCAUAUUUGGGAACAGAGGGAGGCUUUUACUCUGUACUAUUUGGGAACAGAGGGAGUAUCACCAUAUGGAGGGAACAGAGGAAGCUUGAAAUAUGAACAUGUCAAUGGGAGGGAGUAAGCCCCAUGCAUGCAUGCAUGCAUGCAACAUGCAACACUCACACGUACACAUGGACGUACACAACACUCACGCACCCAUGCGGCACAUAGCACACGACGCAACACACACGCUCACGCUCAAGUGCUCAACCUACUCCCUACGUCCGUGAAAGACUGUACAUUUAGAGAUUUACACAUUGACCAGGGCAUAAUUAACGCCCAAAAGUAGCAGACUUAUGUGUGCAUGCGACCAUUGAGAUAAGAAGAUUAAAUGAAGGCCGUUGCAUGCUGUAAUUAAGGAUAGACAUGUAGCCUAUACCUACAGCACAAGUUGGUGCAUUAGUCAAUCAAUAUCGAUUUAGAUUAAAGGCUAAACACAUUGGAAGUGUAGAUGUACAUCAUGUAGUACACUCUUUGUUGGAAGACCGAGGGAGGACAAGUGCAUGCACUCACAUACACAGCCAGGGCGGUUCGCGCGCAAGGGUUGGACUCGUGUCACGCCUGCAUAAAGUUUUGUUUAACUGAUUUCUUUGCUCUGCCAACUGACAGGUGGGACCCAGAAACCAGGUGACAAUUUAACCAGUCAACAAAGUCAGUAGGGUGCAAUACGGUGCUCUACGAUGAGCUAGUGAUCGCAUCGCUGCAAAACUAUAUAUAUAGUGACCGUAAAGAGCGUACUGUUACAUACGUUGACCGCCAAUGUAUUUUUCUCGUUUCAAAUUAAGCCAUAUUAAUCGGAAUGGAUGCAGUAUGGACUACUACUACUAGUACUAGUACUGCUUUGAUGUGUCCCGUCAACUCGCCGAACGAGGAGAAGCUUGCUUACUACGCCUCUCCCUUGUCCACACGCAUGGUGGUUCGUAGGACGAGGAGAGGGUUUUGACUACAGCGCCCUCUCCCUCUCCCUCGCCCUCGCCCUCGCGGUAGACGUGCAGCAGUUCAAUCGGUGUCAGAUUGCCAGAAGCAUAUUGCACUGUAGUAUCAUCAUUGUUGGACCUUCCGAAGAGGCGAAGAGCCAAGUGCAAGGUUCACACGAGUACGAACUGUGGAACCUCCCGAAGAGGCAAAGAGCCAAGCGCAAGGUUUUAUAGGAGUUGUCGUCCUAGUAGGAGUGUACUAGUACAACUAUAGCGAACGGUGCUACUGUAUGAUGCCGACAUGUCACGUAUAUCCAAAGUUGUGCCACCUUUUUUUCUCAAAGAGCAUGUUGGAGCCCGUGCAACAACCACACAAGUUGCACGUACACAUAACACAUUUACUAGUAAUAAAUUCUAAAGGACAAAUGCUAGUAUGUCACACAAGUUCAACUCCAACUCAUGUGAUAAAUUUGUGCACGACUAGUCUACAUAUAUUCACAGUGCUACCGUUCACAAUUACCGUACUCCACUUACACGUUAUAGAUGGGCUACAUGUCCUCCUCCAGGUUCCAGUCCCAGGUGUUCUUCAUGGAUGGAAUGAUCCAUAGCGGUGGGCAACGGGAAUCAUUGUCGCAGCUUUCUAGUCCGGUUCCACACGAUGGAGACUCAUCCAAGCUAAAGCGGCAUAAAUCAGGGAUAGCGUGUCCCAGCAUGUCGUUCAUCUGGCGGUGCGCACUGAAGACACAACCAUGCUUCAUGAAUGACAGGCCUUCCGUGUCGUGCACGGAAGGUGGCAUCCACUUCACAAUGGGGUAGCUGUCCCCGAUGAAAAGCGAGUACUCUCCAAGAGUGUUCCUCGGCACCCACGUAGCAUCACGGGGGUCGAACUCGGCGCCGUUCAUCUGGUACACGCGGCAUCCCAGAUAUGGACACAUGGUGACGUACAUAGUCAAGGUCCAUGCAUAAUAAUGUUGUGCUAAAAUGUGGCGGUCAGUAAUACUGUGCAGCAAAUAGUACUACUCCGGUAUAGAGGAUGUAAAAUAACCGGCUUAUUAUAUAUAGCCACUCUUGGCUACAUGGAUGAGAUAGUAAGACAUGGAAAAACAAAAAUGGUGGCGGCUAGUGGGUUCAAGUCUUCAAGGGCCUAGCUAGCUAUACGCGUCCUCCAAGGUAAAAAGUACUCCUACUAGUACUACAAAGUAUAGUACUAGUACAACAAUGAAAGAGAGGGCGAGAGGGUUAACAAUGGAAUACCUGGGUAGAUGGUGACGGUCCGAUCGUGGUAGAUUAUGUGACCAUGUUGCACAUCAGUGGUACCAUGGGUAACGACUGCUAAGAUAGUUGAUCCCAAUAUGCCAAAGUCAGCUACAAGGUUCCAGGUUAGACCGUAUCGUGGAUGCAAAUGCACAUCUAGGAUCGGCAAUCUUAUUUUGAUCGGGGGAUGACUGGUCCCUGCAAAAUAAUGGAGUACCGUUAGGGAUGCAAAUGAUGGUUUGUGCAUUCCGUUUGUAAUCUCCCGUACCGUAGGAUGUCAACCAGAUGAAACAAGUCCCCUAGCUUGUCACCGCGAAGAUGCGGCCUAGAUGGCGCACGGCGUCCUCGAACAUGUAGGGGUACAAAUCUGCCGCCGCCAACAUGCGCCAGCCUCUGCUGUUACUGCCUCCUGCAUUGAUGGCAAUCCUUAUGUCGAACACCGCGAUGAGAUAGUAAUCGUCGUAGCCACGUCGCUUUGUCGGCGGGUCUGCAAUUGCUAUCUUCUUCAAUCUCAUGUAGGCAUCAUCAUACGUAUUCUUGCCCAGCCAGUCCAGAAGGCCGAUCCCAAUGGUGGAGAAGGGGUCUACCAGAACGGCCGCACUGCUGUGGAUGUGGUGCAAAAUGAUGGUGGUAUCCGGCCGGAGGUAUGCAAGCCAAUCUUCGUUGGCACUGACCCAUACCUAUAUAUAAUACGGUGGGCAAUGGAGAAAUUAUGGGAUGGAAAUGGAAUAACUAUGUACUACAUGAUCAAACUCCAUUACUGACCUGCUCAUCGGACAAAAUCCGACUACCUCUCAACAUCGGCAACUCUAGCGGAGUCAACGUGCAACCAUGGCCAGGGAGCAGUGGACUGUUCGAAGGAUUGUCCCAUAGAAGAACCUUCUCCUCGAGGAUGCAUGGAAGACCAACAAGCAUGGCCUAUUUAAGCAGCGUCUUGAAAAAGUUGGUGCAUGAAGCACCGAGUCUUGCGGCAGUGAGGACAUCAGAGCGGCGUGCGAUUUCUCCCACAGGAUCGUCGUCCAAGGUCUCCCAGCCCCGACGAGGAGGAGAACCGCCUGGCGAAUCCAUGGGAGCAGCGAUGAACUGCCUUCUCUUCGGGGGGAGGGGAACUGGCGAGGAGGAGAUAAGAGCGUAGUAACCACAGGGCCUCGUCCCUUCCAACUGUAGAUCGUUCCUCAGCGAAGGGGUGAGGCUAUUAUUUACUACUAGUACUCCCUCCAAUUCUUUUUACUCUGCGCAUAAGAGCAGACCCGGAUACCAAGGCAGGGGCUCACUGCAUGCUUUCUGGACGAAAAUACCCCUGGCGCAUGGAUGGGAGGAGUUAGCAGCUAUAAAUGCCCCAUGCAGCCCAUUGGCUGUCCGCCCACGUUCUCCUCUCUCUGCAUGCUGCAUGGAUGUCUCCCUCUCUCUCAAUGACUGCAUGCGGUGGCGCUGGCCUAUGAGAAGCUCGUGUGGAGAUAGCAAUCUUCUCUCCAGAAGUGAUUUUUUGAAAGAAAGGGAUUAUGGAACAUUAUGGGAUUGCAUUAUACUGUAAAUAAUAGCACUAGUAAGAAAUUUUUGGCACUAGGUAGUAGUUUUUGGCGUGGAUUAAGAAAUUUUGGGUAUGUUUUUGCCAUUUUUUGUACACGCCAACUAGUGUCAAAAAACUUCUUACAUUAUGUGACGGAGGAGUACGGACUCGUACUGUAGCAGUACUAGUACUACUUUUCUCAACUAGUAGUGCGAUGUACUGUACUUCUAGUCUAGUCUAGUAUAGUGCACCAGUUUUGAACUCUUGAAUCUUAGGGCCAAGGAGCUACAGCUGGAAGUGGAGGGUACUAUUGUUCUCUAGAACCAUCGCUGUACUAUCAAUGCAGGGGAAGUACACCUGCGUAGUGGCCUAGUGGGUACUCUCGGUGCUCUAUUCAGCCGCUCCUCUCACGUAGCUGGCCUACUCAGCCGCUCCUCUCACGCACACACUAGCAGCCUGUUUAUCAGCGACGAUUACUGCGGGGGCAGAAUGUUUGAGUUAUUUGAUACAACGAGACUAGGCUUUUCGCUUCCAUUUGUGGAGGUGUAAUGGAUCUCGUCGAACUAUGUUAGUAGUUCCUUCUUUAUGAAUGAGAUGAAGCAAAGCUUUUGCCUCCGUUUCAAAAAAAACACGCAAGAGGAAUUUCUUUUAUAGUAGAGACGAUAAUGGAGUGAAGUCCAUGCAUGCAACGCCACAAGCUACAGAGCAGUAGUAGAGCACUUUACGUACAAAGCCAUAUUGCACAGUUCCCAAUGCCCCGCUAGGCUUUUCGGGCUCCUCGGGCUUAAUUGGGAGGCGCUAGUUUAAAUAUGCUACUAGCUGGAAGCUGCAAGCGAGGUGCGGCUAGGGCGAGCACGCGAGCUACGAGAUGCUGGGAAGGAAAACCCGUUCACGUGGCUAGGCUGUCCAGUGCACCCAGAUUGUGGGGCCGCACGUCCGUUUGACUUCAAAACUCAAACUACCCGUGUAAAAUAUUGGCUCGCAGCGAAGUGUAGUAGUACUAUUUAAAACAAAGGCCGCCGUGCGUUCGGCCGGGAUUGAACCCACAAAACGAGGUUUACACUCCCGCGACCACUAGUAGUAGUCGUUGGAGUACAACGCAACCUAGAAUCGCCUUUUAUCGCUAGUAGUAUGCACAUUGUUCCUUACAAGAAACCCCUAAGAGCAUGGUUAAUAGUAUAGCCAGUUGCUGGCUAUAAGCCAGUGCCAUGUCAUCUACAGCCCAUCUUAUAGCCAACAUGUAGUAGUAGUUUAUUUCUUAUAGCCCGCUGACUCAGCUCUAUUGUACUUGCUCUAAUAAUGCAACAAACCACUAAAAUGCGAAGAAACUACUACCACUUGCAUACGUGGCAGGCUUAAGAUAAGACUACCUUAUCAACCAUUGUACAUGCUCUUACCAACAAAAAUCCUCGAGUGACCUCCUACCUCCGGCCCGUCCACCUAGUCAUCCUCGGCCAUGGGACGCAGCUACCGCCACCGGCAGAAGGCGAGGUCAAAACCACCGACGGUGCGGAGCCCAUGUUGCGGCAUCCCGGAUGCCAGCUCCGUCCGGCGCUCGCGGCCGCUAGCUAGCCAAGAUAGCUCCGUCCAGCUGCUUGUCUGCAAGGUUUGCUAGCUAGAUUGGCAAGGCAGCGCGGCGGCUUGCUCGCGCGCGCCGCGCUAAGGCUAGCCAUCUGGCUCGAGCAAAGGCCAGCACGGCGGCUUGCUCGCUCGUCAGUCACGCUCAGGCCAGCCUGCCAACCCGUGCGGAGGCCAGCGCGGCGUCCGACCCGUCCGGCGGAGCGGCGGCCAACUCGCUCAUCACCAGCGCCACCGACGAACAUGCAUCAGUACUGUUUGAAGUAAUGUUCAGGAAAAAUAAUGAUUUGAGGGGGAAUAACAUGAUAGAAGGUCAGACGUGGGUCCCUCAUGUCAACGGUCAAACAAAAUGUGUUGGUUUAAGCUGCCUCGUCAGCACGGACAUGUGGGCCAACCCUGUCAUAAAUGGGUUUAAACGAACCUAAUCGGUAGGAGUACUAGGUAGUUUUUGGCGUGGAUUAAGAAAUUUUGGGUAUGUUUUUGCUAUUUUUUGUACAAUAGAUUCCUCCUAGGGCUGGUUGAAAGUGGUAGUUUUUUGUUAAGUACUCUACAUAUUGUAAGUAGGAGUGAAAGUUAAUCUUUGGAAGCCAAUAAUCAAGGCUAGUUACAUAGUGCAUAUGUGUACACGAUUGAAAGUAAAUAUCAACCAUGAGUGACUAAUAUCUUGAUGGAAAACUCAAAACUAUGGAAUACUAGGAAAAUAAAUGCAUGGUUGGAAAUACUAGCAAUGUUCAUGUCCGUUGCAACGAAUCAUAAUUAGAAUAAUACUUAUUCACAGACUUGGUACAAAACACUCUAAUUUUGAUAUACAUAUGUCACUAGAGAUAUAUUAUGUUUCAAUUAGAAUAUAUUCCUUGGGCUGUUUUGGUGAGGUCAGGGAGGGAUGUGGUUGGUUUUAAGAUACUAAUUAGGUUUUUUUGCAAAUUGGUAGACAAGUGGGAUGUUGGUGAGAAAAGGCAACAACUUACCUCACAAUCGUUAGAUGUAGAUCUAAUGGUCAGAAACGACGUAUGGCAGACACACCAGCAUCACCAACUUAGUCUUGUGUAGGAGUACUAGCAAGAUCUGUGCAUUGCACGGAACAUCAAGAUGCAUUUUUUAUAAAACAUUUGUUGGGAUUGACCCUUGCGGGAGUAAUCCCAUGUGUAAAAACUAAUGAUAUCUCGAGAAAUAUGAGAUAAGGUGAAGAGGAGUGGGGUGUGGUGGUGGUUGGUGGUCGAACUAAGCGGAGGCAUGGGGAUUGACGACGCCGGCAGUGGCCACCAGGCUAGUUUGUUCCAGAGGCUUCCUUUCUUAAUUGCUCAACAAUGAGGUUUGUUGGAGAUAAGGAUGAACGAGGGAAGGCCUUGUCUGCAAAUGUGGAGAGGGGUGCGGGUAUCUUUUAGUUUAAUUUCCAUCCGUCGGAUAUCGAUCGAACGGUCUAUAUUGAAAGAUGGCACACGUACCAUCAUCACCAACUCAAUUUUUUUAUAAGAGAAGAAAUAUAAGUAUGGAGAUACAAACGUAUUAUCGAUACUUGCUUCCGUAAACUAGCAUCUACAUUCUAUUCAACGCCUCGGCAUGUGGGGCCUUAGCACAAUGACUUCUCGACUGUGUAAAACGAAGAUUUUCCCGUCGCCGACAAGGAGGGGGUGAUGGCGGCGCGCUUUUUGGCUUGCUCUAGUCCUAGUAGUCAUACUAGGUGGUCUAAGCAUGUUUAGAUUUAUUCUUUUUCAUGUCUCAUGUUCGCCAUACUGCCACGACUGUUCAUGAAUAGAUGGUAAGUUAUUCACGGGGAAACCCUUGUUGUGCGUGUUUGCAAGAGAGAGAGAGAGAGAGAGAGAGAGUGCAUGUGUGAUAUGUUAGAGACUGAGGCAAUGAUAACAUAUUCUUUGUGUCUAUGUGUGUGGAGGAUAGAGAGAGACAUGUACAUGGGGCUUUGGGUUGUGUAACAUGGAGACACAUAUACAUAAUUAGAUAGUGAGUGUGUGAGAUACACAUGCAGACAUGAGGAGAGAUGAGGAUCCAGGUAAAUGGGUGUUUGUGCGUGUCUAUGUGUGUUUGUGCAUGCGUUUGUGUGUGAGAGGGAGAGAGUGUAUGUGGAGUUGAGAGACCACUGAUGAUGUAAACCUAGUAUAAGGGAAGGGGGAAUGGUGUGACAUGUGUAGUAGCGAGAUAGCAUGGGUGCGGGCGGGGGGAGCAGACUAUUUGGAAGAGACAUCGAGUGUGUGUGGGGGAGAGGGGUGUGUGUGAGAGAGAAAGAGAGAGAUAGCGCCGGAGAGAGAGAGAGAGGAAGAGAGGGGGCGAGAGGGGUCGUUUGUGUCCACAAAUGGUGUAUAGAUAGGGAGACAAUGUUGAUGUUGUCCGAAAUUGGCCUAUGAACGGAGACGCAAAGGAAGCGAGUCAUCGUGUGUGUGAUAGGGACUUCAUGAGAGAGCUAGAAUAGAUGGUGUAGAGAACAAUGUGCGAAAUCGAGAAUGAUUAUACAUUAGGGAGCUAUGCAAAGAGUCACGACAUAUAUGUAUACAGGGAAGGAGCUGGGGCGGGUCCGCAUGUGGGAGAGAUAGAAAGAGGAGAGUGGUGCACAAGGAGACAAAGUGUGUUUGUUUGCAGUGGGGGUGGUGUGUGAGGUGAGUGCGCGAGAACCACAUAACUAGGGAGAUAGACGUUUGGGGGCGACGUUUUGUGUGUAUGGGAAAUAUACACUCUACAUAGUGCGUGUGCUUGGGUAAGAGAGAUAGCGGGAGACCUAGAGAGUGAGGGAAGAUAUGUGUGCAUGCCCGAGAGACAAAGUGAUAGAGACCUAUGUUGGGGUCCAGACUUUACAAGAGAGGGGGGUGUUAAUGUGCUCGUGUGUUGGUGUUUUGGGGAGAGAACGACUUCUGUGUGUGUGUGUGUGUGGUGGGGGGGUUGACUUCAGAUAAAGAGUGAGGUGUCUAUAUUUGAGGGACUUUAGCGUAAUUGAGAUAUUGUGCACUCAUGGUUGAUCAAUUUGUUUCACAGUUUGUACUAUGAGAUAACGAUACUUUUGAACAUGCGUGGUAUACCUUGAUGUACCCGAAUUACAAACCUAAGAUUGGAAUUUUGGAAUUCGACUCCAUCAUUAGCUUUUGUAAUUCAUUUAAAUGGAGGUACAUUUUUUAAGCCGGGAUUUCGUGAUUUCAAAUUCAUAUAUCAAACCUAGAGAUAUACACAUACGGGCAUGUUCAAACUUUAUAAUCAUCCACUUUAUUCAUACACAUACACAUUUUUGCUUUUGUCAUCAUAUUUAGGAUAAACACAUUUGGAAUUUCAUUUGAAUUGGACCGUAUGAUGGUAUUUGCUUGUAGUAGCUCAAUGAUCCAUAUUUGAAUUGAAUGGACAAUCUAAGUUUCGAGUUGGAGACAUUGAUUUUCAAAACUUGCACAUUUUUUUGCAUGCAAAACAAACAAAUUGUCGGCCAUGAUAUCAUAGUCGGCCGUACGAGAGAAGAAUACUUAUAAUUUUAGGUGCCAAAAGCUUUCAAACUUCCUUCUCACAUCGAAAUAUCACGCGCGUGAAAGUUUAGCCCUGCGAUAUUCCUGUUUUACCCCUGCCACAUGAACGGAAAAGGGCUGCUUUGGUAACUCCAUUGUUUUCCCCUCUUUGCCCCCAACAUUCUUCCCCAGAGCCCCUCCCCUUCCCCUCCCCGACCCCCAACCACGGCAAGCCGCUGAAUCUAGUCCUCCGCCGCAGCGGUGGACCUCACACCCCGUCGGAUCUACCUUCCGGACCUUGGAACCCCCAACUGCCAACUCACCACUUGACCGGAGCCGCUUCAGCGACUGGCUUGUCCACCGCUCCAGAUCUCCUUGACCGCCAUCAUGGUCCACCGCACCGGAUCUGCUUAACCGGCGCCCUCGUCCACCACAGCGUAGGCCCUUCACUUACUCCCUCGUCCGCCCCUUCGCUGGCCCUUCUUACAAGCCCUCGUCCGCCGCAACAGAUCCGCCUCACCGAAAGCACUGUACAACGCCCCCGCCGAAGCCUUCGUCCACUGCACCGGACCCGCUCCACGGACGCUAUAUUCAACUCCACCGGCCCUGCUUUACCGACGCCGAAGCCUCAUCAAGAUAUUUCGAUUUGUACUCCUUCGGUUUUUCUCUUUAUCGUGCAACUGUUCACUUACCACAAAUGAGCUUUCUUGUAUGUCGACAGGCACCGCAACCGUAGCACCGGAGCCGCUUCAGCAACGGCGAAAGCCGGCCCAAACUCAACCGCAACACGAGCACCAUCGACGAUCCUUAGCUAUCAAGUAUGACAACGAUACCCAUAUGCCGCCGAGAAUCAGGUACUAUUAUCCAACGGCCGGCGCCUACGUUCACUUUCCUAGCAUAAGCACCGCACCUUUCAAUUUCUUCAGGGCAUCAUUCAGUUUUUCAUGAGACGCGUUAUUCUGCUUGCACCUAUAGGGCCAUACUUCUGGCAGUGAACAUGUUACAUGUGCUAAAUUACAUACCAGUGCACAUAUAGUUAAUAUGCUUUAGUUUUGUUCUGAUGCCACCUGUUGGUUCCAUCAGACUGCUUAAUGUUCUCUAUGCUUAAUUACACAUCAGCAAACUAGCAUGUGGUUCCGCUGCUUUUUGUUUGUUUUACCCUACAUUUUCUGAUGCUAGCUAUUACAUCACUGCUCCAAGCCUUUGUUCAUUACUUGUUUGUGUGUUCUUGAUCUUCCCAAGUUGCAUGACUAAUUUGAUGCUUCUAUUAAUUAUGGAGGAAAUUCGGCUAAAAUCCGGCCAAACUUCGUACAAAACAACAUAGAUUUGGAGGAAAUUCAGGCGUUUUCAUUGAAAUGUGUACAAACUGAAAACAUAAUUUGAAAAACAAACUAAAAACUAUCGUCGUCGGUUGAUACGUCUCGAACGUAUCUAUAAUUUUUGAUUGUUCCAUUCUAUUAUAUAUAUUCUAUUUUGGAUGCUUAAUGGGCUUUAUUAUACACUUUUAUAUUAUUUUUGGGACUAUCAUAUUAACCAAAGGCCUAGUGCAAAUUGCUGUUUUUUGCCUAUUUCAGUGUUUCACAGAAAAGGAAUAUCAAACGGAGUCCAAACAGAAUGAAACCUUCGGGAGCGUGAUUUUUGGAACAAACGUGAUCCAGAGGACUUGGAGUGGACGUCAAGAAACAACUGAGGAGGGAAUGAGGCAGGGAGGCGCGCCCCCACCCUCGUGGGCCCCUCGUGGCUCUCCUGACCGACUUCCUUCGCCUAUAUAUACUCAUAUACCCUGAAAACAUCCAGGAGCACCACGAAACCCUAUUUCCACCGCCGCAACCUUAUGUACCCGUGAGAACCCAUCUUGGGGCCUUUUUAGGAGCUCCGCCGGAGGGGGCAUCAAUCACAGAGGUCCUCUACAUCAACUCCAUGGCCCCUCCGAUGAUGUGUGAGUAGUUUACUUCAGACCUUCGGGUCCAUAGUUAUUAGCUAGAUGACUUCUUCUCUCUCUUUGGAUCUCAAUACAAAGUUCUCCUCAAUCUUCUUGGAGAUCUAUUUGAUGUAACUCUUUUUGCGGUGUGUUUGUCGAGAUCCGAUGAAUUGUGGGUUUAUGAUCAAGAUUAUCUAUGAACAAUAUUUGAUUCUUCUCUGAAAUCUUUUAUGUAUGAUUGGUUAUCUUUGCAAGUCUCUUCAAUUAUCAGUUUGGUUUGGCCUACUAGAUUGAUCUUUCUUGCAAUGGGAGAAGUGCUUAGCUUUGGGUUCAAUCUUGCGUUGCUCGAUCCCAGUGACAGAAAGGGAAACAUCACGUAUUGUAUUGUUGCCAUCGAGGAUAAAAAGAUGGAGUUUAUAUCAUAUUGCUUGAGUUUAUCGCUCUACAUCAUGUCAUCUUACCUAAUGCGUUACCCUAUUUUUAUGAACUUAAUGCUCUAGAUGCAUGCUGGAUAGCGGUCGAUGUGUGGAGUAAUAGUAGUAGAUUCAAGCAUGAGUCAGUCUACUUGUCAUGGACGUGAUGCCUAUAUACAUGAUCAUGCCUAGAUAUUCUCAUAAUUAUUCGCUUUUCUAUCAAUUGCUCGACAGUAAUUUGUUCACCCAACGUAAUGCUUAUGCUAUCUUGGGAGAAGCCACUAGUGAAACCUAUGCCCCCCGGGUCUAUUCUCCAUUAUAUUAAUCUCCCGUCAACAAGUUAUUUCUGGCACCGUUUAUUAUGCAAUAUUUACUUUUAACCUUUAUUAUAAAUAUACCAAAAAUAUUAUCUUAUUAUCUCUAUGAGAUCUCACUCUCGUAAGUGACCGUGAAGGGAUUGACAACCCCUUUAUCGCGUUGGUUGCGAGGUUCUUAUUUGUGUGUGUAGGUGCGAGGGACUUGCGUGUAGUCUCCUACUGGAUUGAUACCUUGGUUCUCAAAAACUGAGGGAAAUACUUAUGCUACUUUGCUGCAUCACCCUUUCCUCUUCAAGGGAAAACCAACCCAGUGCUCAAGAGGUAGCAAGAAGGAUUUUUGGCGCCAUUGCCGGGGAGUCUACGCACAAGCCAAGACAUACUAAGUACCCAUCACAAACUCUUAUCCCUUGCAUUACAUUAUGUGCCAUUUGCCUCUCGUUUUCCUCUCCCCCACUUCACCCUUGCCAUUUUAUUCGCUCUCUUUUUCCGUUCGCUUUUUCUUUUGCUUGCUUCUUGUUUGCUUGUGUGUUGGAUUGCUUGCUUGUCACGAUGGCUCAAGAUAAUACUAAAUUGUGUGACUUUGCCAAUACCAACAACAAUGAUUUUCUUAGCACUCCGAUUGCUCCUCUUACCGAUGCUGAAUCUGGUGAAAUUAAUGUUGCUUCGCUGAAUCUUGUCAUGAAAGAUCAAUUCACCGGCCUUCCUAGUGAAGAUGCCGCUACCCAUCUAAAUAGCUUUGUUGAUUUAUGUGAUAUGCAAAAGAAGAAAGAUGUGGACAAUGAUAUUGUUAAACUGAAGCUGUUUCUGUUUUCUCUUAGAGAUCGUGCUAAAACUUGGUUUUCGUCUUUGCCUAAAAAUAGUAUUGAUUCAUGGAAUAAGUGCAAAUAUGCUUUUAUCUCUAAAUAUUUUCCUCCCGCUAAGAUCAUCUCUCUUAGAAAUGAUAUUAUGAAUUUUAAGCAACUUGAUCAUGAACAUGUUGCACAAGCUUGGGAGAGGAUGAAAUUAAUGAUAUGUAAUUGCCCUACACAUUGUUCGAAUCUUUGGAUGGUUAUACAAUUUUUUUAUGCCGGAUUGAAUUUUGCUUCUAGAAAUCUUUUAGAUUCGGCUGCAGGAGGCACUUUUAUGGAAAUCACUUUAGGAGAAGCUACUAAACUCCUAGAUAAUAUUAUGCUUAAUUAUUCUCAAUGGCACACUGAAACAUCUACUAGUAAAAAGGUUCAUGCAAUAGAAGAAAUUAAUGUUUUGAGUGGAAAGAUGGAUGAAUUUAUGAAAUUGUUUGCUAAUAAGAGUGUUUCUUCUGAUCCUAAUGAUAUGCCUUUAUCUACUUUGAUUGAGAAUAAUAAUGAAUCUAUGGAUGUGAAUUUUGUUAGUAGGAACAAUUUUGGUAAUAACGCAUAUAGAGGUAAUUUUAAUCCUAGGCUAUUUCCUAGUAAUUCCUCUAAUAAUUAUGGUAAUUCCUACAACAAUUCUUAUGGAAAUUAUAAUAAGAUGCCCUCUGAUUUUUAAUCUAAUAUUAAAGAAUUUAUUAGUUCGCAAAAGAGUUUCAAUGCUUUGAUUGAAGAAAACUUGUCUUAGAUUGAUGAGUUGGCUAGGAACGCGGAUAGAAUUUCUCUUGAUGUUGAUUCUUUGAAACUUAGAUCUAUUCCACCUAAUCAUGAUAUCAACGAGUCUCUCAAAUCUAUGAGAAUUUUCAUUGAUGAGUGCAAAGAAAGAACCGCUAGGAUGCGUGCUAAAAAAGAUUGCUUUAUGAAAGCGUGUUCUUCUAGUUUCCAUGAUAAUAAGGAUGAAGAUCUAAAAGUGAUUGAUGUGUUUCCUAUUAAAUCUUUGUUUUGCAAUAUGAAUCUUGAUAAUGAUGGGACUGGAGAUGAGUCAACUUUAGUUAGAAGGCGUCCCAAUGAUUUGGAGUUUUUAGAUUUUGAUGCAAAAUUUGGUAAAAGUGGGAUGGAAGAGGUCAAAACUUUAGAUAGCAAUGAACCCACUAUCUUGGAUUUCAAGGAAUUUAAUUAUGGUAAUUGCUCUUUAAUAGAUUGUAUUUCCUUGUUGCAAUCCGUGCUAAAUUCUCCGCAUGCUUAUAGUCAAAAUAAGGCUUUUACUAAACAUAUCGUUGAUGCUUUAAUGCAAUCUUAUGAAGAAAAACUUGAAUUGGAAGUUUCUAUCCCCAGAAAACUUUAUGAUGAGUGGGAACCUACUAUUAAAAUUAAAAUUAAACAUCAUGAAUUCUAUGCUUUGUGUGAUUUGGGUGCUAGUGUUUCCACGAUUCCUAAAACCUUGUGUGAUUUGGUAGGUUUCCGUGAAUUUGAUGAUUGUUCUUUAAACUUGCAUCUUGCGGAUUCCACCAUUAAGAAACCUAUGGGAAGAAUUAAUAUGUUCGUAUUGUUGCAAUAGGAAUUAUGUGCCCAUAGAUUUCAUUGUCCUUGAUAUAGAUUGCAAUCCUUCAUGUCCUAUCCUGAUGGAUGACACGUGGCAUUCACAAAUCACAAACCAUCUACCCCACCCCUCACUUGAAAUCAGGGGGCAGAGAUUAGAUGCUUUAUGAUUUGUGAAUGACACGUGUCAUCCAUCAGGGCGGGUCUCACCUGCUAACCAUGGGACCUGGUCUCGUAUAAUUUUUUUCCAUGCCCUAUUAUUCUUGGUAGACCUUUCCUUAGAAUGAUUGGUGCAAUUAUUGAUAUGAAGGAAGGGAAUAUCAGAUUCCAAUUUCCAUUAAUGAUAGGCAUGGAACACUUUCCUAGAAAUAAAAUUAAAUUACCUUAUGAAUCUAUGAUGAGAGCUACAUAAGGAUUGCAUACCAAAGAUGGUAAUACCUAGAUCUAUUCUUGCUUGUUAUGCCUAGCUAGGGGCGUUAAACGAUAGCGCUUGUUGGGAGGCAACCUAAUUUUAUUUUUGUUUCUUGAUUUUUGAUUAUGUUUAGUAAUAAAUAAUUCAUCUAGCCUCUGUUUAGAUGUGGUUUUAUGCUUUUAAUUAGUGUUUGUGCCAAGUAGAACCUUUGGGAAGACUUGGGGAAAGUCUUUGCUAUCUUGCUGUAAAAAACAGAAACUUUAGCGCUCACGAGAUUUGCUGCCAUUUUUUAUUGGAGGGUUCUAUUUAGUUAAUUAUUUUUGCAUAUGAUUAAUAGAUAAAUUCCUCACGUCUAGCAAUUUAUUUUAGAAUUUGUUGGAUUCCAGAAGUAUUCGAAACCUACAGAUUACUACAGACUGUUCUGUUUUUGACAGAUUCUGUUUUUCGUGUGUUGUUUGCUUAUUUUGAUGAAUCUAUGGCUGGUAAUGGAGUUUAUGAGCCAUAGAAAAGUUGGAAUACAUUAGUUUUAACACCAAUAUAAAUAAUGAAUUAUUUCAUUACAGUACCUUGAAGUGGUGUUUUGUUUUCUUUCGCUAACGGAGCACACGAGAUUUUCUGUUAAGUUUUGUGUUGUGAAGUUUUCAAGUUUUGGGCAAAGAUUUGAUGGAUUAUGGAACAAGGAGUGGAAAGAGCCUAAGCUUGGGGAUGCCCAAGGCACCCCAAGGUAAAAUACAAGGACAACCAAAAGCCUAAGCUUGGGGAUGCCCCGGAAGCCAUCCCCUCUUUCGUCUUCGUCCAUUGGUAACUUUACUUGGAGCUAUAUUUUUAUUCACCACAUGAUAUGUGUUUUGCUUGGAGCGUCUUGUAUGAUUUGAGUAUUUGUUUUUUAGUUUACCACAAUCAUCCUUGUUGUACACACCUUUUGAGAGAGACACACAUGAAUCGGAAUUCAUUAGAAUACUCUAUGUGCUUCACUUAUAUCUUUUGAGUUAGAUAAUUUUGCUCUAGUGCUUCGCUUAUAUAUUUUAGAGCCCACCGGUUGAUGUCAAUGCAAGGAGUAGGGAUUGCCAUGCAACGGUGGUGCUAUUGUAUAUUCUGUUUUGGGUGUUUAAUGGGCUUUAUUAUACACUUUUAUAUUAUUUUUGGGACUAACCUAUUAACCAAAGGCCCAGUGCAAAUUGCUGUUUUUUUUGCCUAUUUCAGUGUUUCACAGAAAAAGAAUAUCAAACGGAGUCCAAACGGAAUGAAACCUCCGGGAGCGUGAUUUUUUGGAACAAACGUGAUACAUAGGACUUGGAGUGGACGUCAAGAAACAACCAAGGAGGCCACGAGGAAGGCAGGCGCGCCUGCCCCCCUGGGUGUGCCCCCACCCUCGUGGGCCCCUCAUGGAUCUCCUGACCGACUUCCUUCGCCUAUAUAUACUCAUAUACCCUGAAAACAUCCAGGAGCACCACGAAACCCUAUUUCCACCGCAGCAACCUUCUGUACCCAUGAGAUCCCAUCUUGGGGCCUUUUCCGGCGCUCCGCCGGAGGGGGCAUCGAUCACGGAGGGCCUCUACAUCAACUCCAUGGGCCCUCCGAUGAUGUGUGAGUAGUUUACUUCAGACCUUCGGGUCCAUAGUUAUUAGCUAGAUGGCUUCUUCUCUCUCUUUGGAUCUCAAUACAAAGUUCUCCUUGAUCUUCUUAGAGAUCUAUUCGAUGUAACUCUUUUUGCGGUGUGUUUGUCGAGAUCCGAUGAAUUGUGAGUUUAUGAUCAAGAUUAUCUAUGAACAAUAUUUGAUUCUUCUAUGAAAUCUUUUAUGUAUGAUUGGUUAUCUUGCAAGUCUCUUCGAAUUAUUAGUUUUGGUUUCGUCUACUAGAUUGAUCUUUCUUGCAAUGGGAGAAGUGCUUAGCUUUGGGUUCAAUCUUGCGUUGCUUGAUCCCACUGACAGAAAGGGAAACUACACGUAUUGUAUUGUUGCCAUCGAGGAUAAAAAUAUGGGGUUUAUAUCAUAUUGCUUGAGUUUAUCCCUCUACAUCAUGUCAUCUUACCUAAUGCGUUACUCUAUUCUUAUGAACUUAAUACUCUAGAUGCAUGCUGGAUAGCGGUCGAUGUGUGGAGUAAUAGUAGUAGAUGCAGGCAGGAGUCGGUCUACUUGUCAUAGACGUGAUGCCUAUAUACAUGAUCAUGCCUGGAUAUUCUCAUAAUUAUUCACUUCUCUAUCAAUUGCUCGACAGUAAUUUGUUCACCCACCGUAAUGCUUAUGCUAUCUUGAGAGAAGCCACUAGUGAAACCUAUGGCCCCCGGGUCUAUUCUCCAUUAUAUUAAUCUCCCGUCAACAAGUUAUUUCUGGCACCAUUUAUUUUGCAAUCUUUACUUUUAAUCUUUAUUAUAAAAAUACCAUAAAUAUUAUCUUAUUAUCUCUAUCAGAUCUCACUCUCGUAAGUGUACUGUGAAGGGAUUGACAACCCCUUUAUCGUGUUGGUUGCGAGGUCCUUAUUUGUUUGUGUAGGUGCGAGGGACUUGCGUGUAGUCUCCUACUGGAUUGAUACCUUGGUUCUCAAAAACUGAGGGAAAUACUUACGCUACUUUGUUGCAUCACCCUUUCCUCUUCAAGGGAAAAGCAACGCAGUGCUCAAGAGGAAGCAUUGGCCCCGGCGCCUCCUCGUCGUUGUCGUCGAGGAUGACACCACCGCCCUCCGCGCGGCCACAGCACCGAAAGGCGAUCUCCUCGAGGGCACGGCGCUGGCGCUCCAUCUCCCAUCGAACAUAGUCGUCCUGCACCCAUUUGAGGUCGGUCUCCUCAUCGGCGGCGAUGGCCUCGUGCUCCUUCUUCAUGGGAAGGAGCCCGGCUUGGUCUUCGGCUUGAUGAGGUGGGAAGAGGGAGGAGAAGGGAUGCCGCCCUCAUUGAUGACGAGGGCAUCGCCACGUGUGUGCCGCCCGAGCGGCCUCCCCCUUGACUCUAGCUUGACGGGGAGGAGCGCUGCUGACCCAGAGGAACGGGAGCUCGAUGAGGACGAUGAUGCCAUCUCCAUUUGCAUCGGUGUCCAAGAACUACCACGACGGUGAGAGAAGGUGGGUGGCGCCGGGUACUCCAACAGCGACGAGUUGCCGGCCUCGAGUGCUCGAGGACGACAUUGAGCGUCCACCCGAGGACACCCCACCAUUGGCGCUGCCCCUCAGAGUUGAGGCGGCCGCGGGGUUCAACGCAGUACGUGGCAGCCAGCUGGUCGGCGAUCUAAGUAUGCCGUCCAUAGGUUGUGGUUGUCGGGGGCGUACCUCGACUGCUGCCGCGCGUGCUCCGACAAUGAUGACCUGAUGCACGUGAUCUCGGCGCGCCGUUUAGCACGGAGGGCGGCGAUGUGUAGGAUCAAAAGUAGGUCUAGAGAGGGGGUGAUUAGACUACUUGACCAAAUAAACAACUAGCAUUUUCCCAAUUUUAAGUCUUGGCAGAUUUUAACAACUUAGCACAAGUCAAGCAAUCAACCUACACAUGCAAUUCUAAGAGUGUAGCAUCGGAAAGUAAAACAUUACAUAUGAAGGUAAAGGGAAGGGUUUGGAGAAGGCAAACGCAAUGUAGACACGGAGAUUUUUGGCAUGGUUCCGAUAGGUGGUGCUAUCGUACAUCCACAUUGAUGGAGACUUCAACCCACGAAGGGUUGCGAGUCUAUGGAGGGCUCCACCCACGAAGGGUCCAUGAAGAAUCAACCUUGUCUAUUCCACCAUGGUCAUCGCCCACGAAGGACUUGCCUCACUUGGGUAAAUCUUCAUGGAGUAGGCGAUUUCCUUGCCCUUACAAACUCCUUGCACUACAAAAAAAAGACACAUCCGUGACAUUUUGGGCCGAACACAUUUUUUUCCUGUCAUGCUUAUGACACUUCUAUGGCGAUAAUUGUGACAAAACCCGGUAUCGUCAUAGAUGUGGUGGGCUCCUACUUCUAUGACAAAAAUCAUGACAAAAAUUGGGCUUUUCAUCCUGGGCGGGCCGGAGACGCAGCUGCAUGACAUUCUUUGGGCCGUCCAUGAUAGAAAAACCAUGGUAUAAGAAAGGGCGAGGAAAAUAUCGGGGAGUUCCCGAUUACGGUGGGUGGUCGUGGCCGAGCGAUGCGCAUUUCUCUCGUACACAUACGCGCGUGGGUGCGAGGCGUUGGUCUCUAACUGAAUCCAAGCGAGGCAUUCGUCUACUGAACCCGAACGAUUGCACUGCAGGCUACGCGUUACUGAACCCGAGCGAUCGAUCGAUCUGGCUGUUAACUGAACCUGAUCGAGCGAUUCCUUCGUUACUGCUACUAACUGAAGCCGGUCAAACCUACUGCCUCUUGAUGAAUAGUGAGUGUUGUUGGGGGGUUGGAUGAACAGUUCCCGGUGGGGGUUGGAUGAACAGGACCCCGUGGUAGUAGAGGCCGUUGCCGUUGGAUUAACAUGACCCCGAUCGAGCCGGUUGGGGGUGCAUGAACAGGACCCCCGUGGAGGGCUGGUUGAACAGUAGCUGGUGGAGGGAUAGAUGAACAGUACCCAUGGAGGGGUGGGUUAACAGGACCCCAUGGAGAGAGCUUGUUGAAUAGUAGCUAGUGGAUGAGCGGUGGAGCCUGGAUGAACAAGAGCCCGUGGAUGAACAAUAGAUGGUGGAGGCAGGAGGGAGACGCUGUGGAUGAAUAGUCGCAGGUGGAGGUUGGAGGAGGUCGAUGAUGGAGAUGAACAGUAGCCCGUGGAGUCCCAUUUUGCGAUAUGCCUCACCCCUCCCAAUGAAUAGGACCCCCGUUUCGACCAUAGCGCUCCAACACAAGUCUGUUUCCUCCCUUUUGCGGUGCGCCACAUCCCUCCCGAUAAACAGGACCCCGUUUCGACCGUAGGAGGUCGACGAGAAGUUCGUUUCCUCCGUUUUGCGGUAUGCCACACCCCUCCCAGUGAACAGGAUCCCGUUUCGACCGUAGGCAGUCGAACCCAAGGCCGUUUCCCCCGUUCUGCGGUACGCCAUGCCUCAUUUCGAUUGGCUGUUCCAUCCAAGCCGGUUGGCUCCCAAUGAACAUGACACAUUCCAUUGCUUCCCGAUGAACACGACGACGCAGUUUCUAUGUUCCGACCCAACCGGUUGGCUGCUGAUGAACAUGGCGCCAUCAGUGCCUCUCCAUGUACACGAGCCUUGGCCGUACGUAUGCGCGAGUAGGCAUUCAAGACCCUGCUCGUACAUACGUACGUGUACACGAUAUAGACGGGACUGCCUGAAUAGCUACCACUCCUUACUGGGCCACGGUUCAUCGUGGCAGAAAGACCGAUGGACCAGUAUGUACGUACACGUUUGCGAUCAGAAUGAUAACGCUAUGUAGCUUCGACCAGGUGGGUCUCUCCUGUCAGGGAGGAUAAGGAGGCACUUCCUUGUGUGCGAAGAAGUAGCUGGUGGGUCCGAGCUGACAGGGGGAGGAUUCUUUUUUUUGCACGUAAUAUGGAGGCACUUCCUUGCGUGUGAAGAUGUUGUUGGUGGGCCCAUCUGUCAGCUUCACCGCGUACAGUCCUCUUCCAAUGUCUAUCGUUCGUUGACCACAUUGACCAUGCCGUGCGGACAACACCAGGCGGUGGACGACGGUGAGGCAGGGAACAACGCGGAGCCUGGGAACACGCGGAGGGUAGUACAAGGGUUGACUGGUUCAGCUGCGGUGUGAGGCUGCCGUCACCGCAGAAUAACAGGGGGUGUGGGUGAGUAGAGGGAUGGCCUGGCCAGCGGUGGGAGUAGUAGGGGCGGUGAGGCCUCCGCGGCAGCACAUCCGGCCACGGGAGGCAGGAGCACGUAGUGGUUUGGACGGCUGGAUCAAGAAAAUCGGAGGUAGAAGAAGCAGGAGGACUGUUGGAUGUUAACAAUCCAACUAUCACUGGUGAUAGAAUCAUUUGUUAACUAAGUUGACAAAUCCUCCGUACGCAUCAACUUAGUAGGGCCACAAGUCAUCCUCCAAAUCUGGUGGGCCCUAGCUGUCAUGGGGAGCACUCGUUAUUUUUCUCUUAAUAAGGAGGCACUUCCUUCCAUGCCAAGAUAUAGCUGGUGGAACCCAGCUGUCAUUGGGAGUAUUCAUUAUUUUUGGCCUAAUAAGGAGGUACUUGCUUGCGCGCGGCCAUGGACCAUGUGGGUCCCAACACUCAGCCUCCCCAUGUACAUCCCUCUUUCGAUGUUGUCGUUUGUUGACAACGUUGACCACGCCGUGCCGAGAACACCAGCGCGAUGGACGGUGACGAGACCCAGGAAGGGAAUGUGACCCGGAGGCGGCGAAGCCACAACAGUGUAGGGAUGUGGGUGAGUAGUGGGAUGGCCUGGCCAGCGAUGGGAUUAGUAGGGGUGGUGAGGCCUACGCGGCAGCACAGCCGGCCACGGGAGGCGGGAGCAGGCGGUCCCGUCGGCACUGGAUUUGGCAGCUGGAGCAAGAAGAACAAAGAUUGAAGAAGCACGAUGGCCGUUGGAUUGACAUCCAAUGGUUACGUCUGCUAGAAUCGUUUGUUGGCGUAUAUAAUAAGUAAAAAAAUCUUGCAUACGCGUCAACUUAAUAGGCCCACAAAUCAGACCAUUCCCUAUUUUUUUUAAUAAUUUACAGCUCAUUGCAACUUCUUAUGCAAUUUAUUGCAGUCCUUUUUUGUUGGCUAGGGCCAGGGUUAAAAAUUUAAAUGAAAUUUCGCAUAUUUCUGUGGGGUCCAAACUAUUUUUAAUACCGAAAAGUCAAGCCAGAUUUAAAGUACUUUGAAGAUAUAUUUAAAUUAGGUUAAAGCCUAUUGAAAUUUGAAUAUGAAAAUGGGAAAAAAUACAGAAAUUAUAAAGUAAUUGCCAAUUUUUCGUCAGUUUUUUAUAUUUACAGCCCAUUUCAUAUUACUUUCAAGAUUUGCAGCCGUCUUAAAAGAGUUGCAGCCCAUCAGGGUGUAGAAAAAUAGGUAGUCCUGGAUUGGGUAUUCUUCAAAAAAAAUAGGCUCAUUUUCACAAAGAAAAAAUAGCUGGGUUGGUCAUGUGGUGAACGUAAAAUAUAAGCCUGGGUUAGAUGGGCCACAGCCUAGUUGAAACCCUGCUCCGUCUCAACAAUAACAAAAAAAUACUGCCGAGCAGCUACGUCCCAAGUGUGAGCCGAUCUUGUGUUGUUGUCUUGUCUAUUGACUAUAUAUGCUGACAAUGUCGUGGGUCCCAGAUCUCAGGAAACCACUAGGAGGAAGCAUUUUCUUUUUCUAUACGCUGACAAUGGAGUAUAUAUAACAAAUAAUGAGAAACUCCUUGCGUACGGUCAUCCUCUCCAUGUACAGUCCUCUCCCGAUCCCUCUUGUUUGUUGACCAUGUUGACAACGCGAGAGGGCAGCGCCGCGGAGAGCGCAUCAAAGCGCGCAGAGGAUGAUGGCGAGGCCUCGGACAUUGGCAUUAAUGAUUUAGGAGACUGUGGGGUGGCGAUGCAUGCGCUGAGGCGCAGCCGGCCGUGGGAUGCGGAAGCAAGCGGCCCCGCUGGCGCUGGUUUGGUUUUGGCGGCUGGAGGAAGAUAGGACUGAAGAAACACGACAGACUGUAAAAGCAACAGGAGUACUUAGCAACCUUAACUGAAACCAGCAGGGGCACUUAACAACCAUAGCUGGAAGCAGUAUGAGUACUUAUAUAGUUCCAACCGUACAAAGCACGCAUCGAACAGUGCUGCUUUGCCUACAGUUAACCAAGGGUGAGGCCACCAAGCCCCAGGACAAGGCCCAUGCGCCACCCCGCGCAUCCAUAACCUUAUGAAAGCGGCUUCAUCUCGCAAUGUGGUCAAUAAACAUGAUAUUCACUUUAGAGCCAUGGAAAAGCAUGAACAUAACCUUUUGUCCUAUUCUCCAAGAUGGACGAGCCUUCAUUAUUUGAUACCUCCCAUGAAUAAGUAUCUUUUCACCUCCAAGGGGAAUGGAGUAGGUCGACAUAAACAUCAUGUUGU